GAAGCUGAAGAGGAAGAUGAGGCCAACGCCGAUGGAAUUCAUGGUGGACCCAGAUGAUCAAGGCUCAGCCAUGGAAGUCGACGACGUUGACCCACUCGAGAUGUUCGGCGAAGGCGGCAUCUCCAUCGACAACAAGCUCGCCGACGCCGAUUUCUUCAACAACUUCGAAGACGAUUUCGAUGACUCCGACAUCAACUAAACGCCUCAACCCAAAGUUCUCAUCUUUUUCUCUCUUCCCUUUCUAGGGUUUCGUCUUUUUUCUUAAUAAAAAUCUUAAUGCUUGUUCGAUUCAGUCGAAUUUGAACUGCUUUAUGGCUUAUCUCAUCUGCAAAUUAUAUUAUUGUAGUUUUUGAACGUUUAGCUUUGGUUAAUUGGUAAGGAAUAAAAAGGUGUUUCCAUUCUGGAGUUGAAUUUAGUGUUGAAAUGAAGCGAGAAAUUGAAAGAAAAUUUCAACAGCCUCUGAAUCAGAGAAUUCGUUACAACAAAGGUGCAAAUCUAGUAACUAAAUUAUAUUCCCCAAAUCUGUUUAUGUCUAUAAACAUGCCAUCAAACUCAUAACAUUUCCAACCAUUUCCAUUUAAAAAUGUAGAUACAACACUGUCAUUCUUAUCGUCAUUCGACUUGUUCAAGUUAUGGCCAAUUAUCCACCAUGUAAAGAAGGAAACAACAAAGACAGGAUCGUGUUUGUGUUAUGGCCCAGGCUUAUGCUUCAAGCCGUGGCUCCCGAGCUCGAGGAUUGACUUUUCUGUGUUUGUGUUAUGGUCGAGACAAUUCUAAGCUGUGGCUUCUGGAUUCGUGGAUUGACUAUUGUUGUAGUGUUUGUGUUAUGGGUAGGCUGACAAGUUCUUUUCUAUUGCAGGCUUGCUUUAAUAUGUUAAGAGAAGCUACCAACAUUGCAGCAAGCAAUUCCACCAUGUUAAUGUCUAUUCACAGAAAAAUUAAUUGUUCAAAAGAUUCCAUGACAAAGAAAAAGAAGCCAAAGUAAUUCCACCAUGUUAAUGUCUGUCCACCGAAAAAUUAAUUGUUCAAAAGAUUCCAUGACAAAGAAAAAGAAGCUAAACAACUUACUAACCAAACCUUUAUUUUACGGGAAAAAAUGCUUCAAUUAUACUAUACACCCUGAUCCAGGUGGCCAUACAACAGUUGCAUGAUAUAACAAAAGCACAAUGAGCCACAGAUAACUCAUACAAUCAAAGUUGACGACGACUCCUGAAAUCAAAUCUAGUUAUGUUUCUUCACACCUUAUACAACAAUACCAUACUUCAUUGACAAUUCUAACAAGAAAUUAGGAAGGGCUCACUGUUUCUUAUAUAUUGUCUUGUACCAGAACUCUGAUAUUCCUUCGAUGUAAAUUUCUUUCCUUGGCCGACGGUUCUCACACCAUGGAAAAUCAUCAUUCAGAAAUUAGCAUUUAAUAAAAGUAGACAGCAUGCGAUGGAAACUAGCAUUUAAGAAUUGGAAACCGGGAUAAUCUUUCGAUUUCCUUGAUAAUUAGUUCCUUUUCCUCUUCAAAUUGCUCAUCUUCGGCACAUGCGAUGACAAUUAUUUCUUAAAAGACAAGCACAAGGACAACUAAGAAAAUGGUUUCAAAUGGAAAAAACCCAACUAUAUAUCUGGUGCCAAUUUUUCAGAAAAUGUAUGGCCAAAAGAUUUAAGUACCUUUUCCUGAGAGAUUUUGAAGCAGAUCCAGCAAUUUUUCAUGGUUUUUUGCCAGAAUAAUCUUUACUUCUCUUGGCUUGUUAGGAUUAGCAACAAAAACCUUCAUGCGAAUAGCAAAGGAAGGAAAACAAUAGAUUAGAACAAUUCUUGCAAUAUCUGAAGUAAGCUUUCUUUCCCUGUUAUCUAGGUGAUAUCAUUUAAGUAAUUUGCAUCCAACAGUCCCAAGUAAUUUUUUAAGACAAAGAGAGCGAACUGGCUUUGGAAAUGCAACAGAAGAAAUACUCCAAAGUAUAAUGUUCCGCAGGCUAAAUUUCAGUCUCAAUGGGUGAUCUUGAACAUUAAUAUCUGAAGAUCUUUUGGACAGGACAUCUUAUGACAUUUAGUAUGACAUAUUUUAGGGUUCAUUGAAGCAGGAGAAAGAGAUAGAGACAUUGGGAACUUUCAUAGGCGAGCUUCCAAUUCAUGAAUAUCAUCACUCAUCAUUUCUUGUCUAAUUAUUAACUUAGAACAUUGCCCUGAGGCUUUUUUACAAAGAUGUAUUCUUAAAACCCCAUGACAGAACAUGUGCUUGCCUGUGGACUGUGGAUAGGCCUGUGCUGGGACUAGCAAAAACGAUGUGUUUAUUUGAGAGUGAGAGAGAAGGAGAGGGAAAAACCACUUUGAAAAUGUGGAAAGCAGAAAUCUGCAUGUUUUUACUUGAAUCCUGCUUUGACACAAAAAGAGCGGAAAGUAAAAAGUCAAAUCAUAUAACAGACAAUUUCAAACAAGUUCUUCUCGAUAGCUACAGGUUAAGAUAUUUAAUGUACCAAGGAAGCAGACUGGGAUAAUCUUAUCAGACAUAAAAGUAAAAACAGAGAGCUCAUAUGAUUUCACUAGGUCCAAUCUAUUCCAAGUUGAAUACCCAAAAGUAUAUCAAUAAGUUGAAGCAGUUUCCAUAAAACAAAAAUGCCAUUCCGCACUCAUGGCUUUCACUCUUGCAUCACUCAUUUUCCAUGUCUCUUCAGGCCCAAUAAUGGACGGUCGAAGAUGCAAGAGUGUAUGAUGGUUGAAUGUAAAUCAGAACUCAUUUCAAUAAGACAUCCGGACUGCCAAUGGAGAUUCAAUCCAAUUAACGCCAAAAGAAACAUAAAGGAGAAAAAAGUACAGUUAAUAAGAAGUACCUCCAGCAAUGUCAUCAUAACUUUCAAAUACCGAACUUCUAAAAUAUAGCACUUCAUUAUAUGGGAAUUUGGAGUCUCCAAAAGAAAUUGCGACAGAAGCUAAACCAAAAACAUUGCAGCAUUAACACAUCUUACCAAUCAACAUAUCUACAGAUCCAAACAGGAUGGAAAAGAGAGAAAGUGCCGAAACCAACCUUUAAAGAUUGCCAUCUUGUCACGUAAUUAGAAGACAUCAAGAGUUUUUCAUAUAGAUCAAAGAACAGGAACAACAUUAUCUCAUUAGAUAAGCUAAAAGAGAGAAAAUGGAAAAUGGAUAUCUCAACAAACUUAUGAAGAAAGAUAUUUUCAGAGCUCUGCACCAUGCAGAUUCAUCAGGGGUAGUUGCACUUGAUGUCCCUUACCAAAAGGGUACACACAAUAUAAAACAUUCUUGAAGAAAGUUUUUAGCUCAGCAGGUCUUCUAGUUGAAGCAUUCAAUCAACAUAAAGCCCUAAAGCAAAAUUGUUCUCAGCCUAGAUCAUUUCUGUCACGUAAGAAGGAUUAAACAGUAUGUAAAUGUACCUCAUCGUAAUGAGCAGUCAAUUAUUCAGAUAACAAUGUUCCAUGUUUUGUAAGCAGAUCCAGAGGAAAUUCAAUCAAAGACGCAUAAGAGGAAGAAAGCAUGGACCCUGAAAAUGCAUGUACUUAAUCUAAAGUACCGUAAGACUUAAAAACUAAUACAUCUAACCUUAAAUGUUGAAAAUGCAUCAGAAGCAACGUCAAAGUUGGGCAACUCCACAAAUUUGAAGAAUAACACAAAGCUAGCAGACUUUAAUAUGUAUCUGAAAAAUCACUACAAAAUUUAACUGGUGAAAAAGUGAAACUUGAUUUUCAAUAAAGAAAUUUUGCACCAAACAUUAAAUUUAAAACAAAGAAAGUGCCCUAGCAGCCAAUUUUUCCUCCUUUGAUUUACUUGGACUAGUUCAUAGACACCAACCGGUUAUAGCUUUUGACAUCUAAUAAAAGCAGCAAUCGGCACUUCUAAAAUAGGUAAUGAUCAUUACCAAUCUCUAAACUGCACCAGUUCCUGAAUUACCCAGCAUCCAAGUUUUACUCAAAACCUUCAUAAUAUGUUUUACACUUGAUCUUUUAAAGCAGGCCAGAAUAUUAAAAAGAAGUUUAUCCUCACAAACCUAAUUUUGUAGUUAACAACAUCAGAAGAUAUUGAAGUGGUGAUUAAUCAGUCUACUAAAAACCGGAGUUGUAUCUGAAUGCUGAGCUGAAAGCAACAUAUUUCAUGCUGCAGCAUGUUCUGCUUAUUCACCACCUCACCUCAUGAAAGCCUAGUGUAUAAACCUUAGUAGACGCUAACACGUAAAACCAUAUUUGGAAAAGAGCAUACAAAUGAGGAUGAUGAUUCCAAUCAAGGUUACAUGCAAAGCUUGCCACAAAUUAGAUGAUAUAGAAUAUAAUAAAAAAUUUAGAGAACUUAUGUACUGAAAGAAUUAUAUUUCCUCUUCUGAAAUCUUAUACAAUCAUCAUUUAGGAAGAAGCAAUGACAAUGUUUUCAACCAUAGCAUCACUUUAGCAACAUCAUUAAGUACUUCAGUCAUAUGAACGAAAUGGACAUAAAGCUCGAAUGUCUUACUGUGCAAGUGUUGGAAAUUUGAAGCACUCCCUCAACAUAUUUCCACAAUUUAAAGCAAUUUCCUUGUUAUAAUAGCUGCUUGCAAAAGAUAGAAAUUACACACCUAACCUUAGUGAUUCAAUAGCACACAUGACUUUGUCCAUGUUAUUUCAGUAUGCAUACAGGUCAAUGCCAUCCUAUAGAAAUAAACAACACACUCUGAACACAACAAAUAGGAAGGAGAGAGAAAGAGUCACAUUAAACCAGCUUUAUGCAUAUUCGAUAAGCAUGUAAUAGACAACAAAUUAUAGAGAUUUCUAGUUGAAAAGAAAGGGGCAUGGACAUAGAUAAAUGUGAAAAUGACAUUCAUAACAUUACCAAACCACAAGAAAGUCAAAUAACUCCAAAUGCUUCUCAAUGUACUCCACACAGCAACAGGUGGAAUCAACUUUUUGCUCAACAAUAUGGACCAAAGGUGUAAUAAAUCUUUUCUUGCCUGUAAAAACAUAAAAUAAAUAGGCAAGCUUAUUAAAUAACCAGAUAUGACCAAAAUAGUAAAAAUAUCAAGAACUUGCUUCCCAUCCCAGUAUGGGCAACUUGUGACUAAUGAGAGAAAUAACAUUCUCUUUAGAAAUUUCAAGUGCCAACUGUAAGACUUGAUCCACAUUUGGUUCAACCUCCCCAUCUCUUGAAAGCAUGCAUCUCAUUGUCACAAAAUUCUUUUCAACUUCUUCCAUAGCCCAAGGCAAUAUAAAACAUAACUAUCAAUAUCCCAAAUUCUUAAACAUGAGUAAUUUACAAAGUAACUGAAUGUCUCUGCGGUCCAUUUUCGAUUUCAUUUCUGAACAUAACCCUGAUAGAAACUAAACCCCAACAUUUAGCUUGUGGCUAAAACAAAAAUCAUCCAUCCUUGGACCAAACCUAUUAUUUAUCUACAAUGCCAUUGAAAGUAGGCUAAAAUGGUGUUGAUCCCAUGAGACAAUAUUAGCAGACAUAGACAUCAAGCAAGCGUUGCCCCUUUUGUCCCAUUGGGUUAGAACUUGAGCAUUCCACUGCAGGUUUCAGGUUCAAAUCUUUAAGACUUUAUUAGAUGGGAGAGCUACCUCCAUUUCUCUAGCCUAAUGGACAAUGGAUUUUCUAUGUACAAAAUAAUAAAGCAUCAGCCAUUUUGUUCAUAUUACAAACAAAUGACAUUGGAAGACACUUCAUUGUUGACAUCCUAAUAACAAACAGUUAGCAUUUCAUGCGGGAAAGCAAAAAGCUCCAAAGAUUUUGGGAAGAAGAGCAAAGUAAUGGCAUAACACGUAAAAUAUUAAAACAACUAGCAAACCAAUGCCCAAAACAUUACCAAAUGAAAUAAUUCUUAAAACCCAUUUCAUAAUUUCAAUAUCACAAACAAACUUGAGACUCAACCACAUAGCCAAAUCCCAAAAAAAUUUGAAGAAUACAAGAAAUUAUGCUAAAAUUAAGCAUAACCCCCCCCCCCCCAAAAAAAAAAAAAAAAAAAAACUUUCAAGGGCUUUAACUUCAGCAACGGUUUUGGCGUCGAGAGCCAUGAGGCUGUCCUUGAUCGCCCUGGCUACCUCUUGCGGGGUUUGGGCCUUGACGGGUCGAAGAAAUAAGAAGGACAUGAUCGAUCAAAUGUCGAAAUGAUGUGAUAUGAUACGACCCAAAAUUCAAUUCUCUCAAUUUCACUUCGAUGAAUGAUUUGCAGAUUGAGAAAAAUGUAAUUGAUCUGUUGAUCAUAUAGACUUUUCACAUUUUCGUUUCAACUUCAAAUCACAACAUUUUGAAAAAAAAUAGAAAUUGCUCACAAAGUUUAAACUUCAAAGGGAAACUUUUUUUUUUUUCAGUAGGGAAUGUGGGUUUUUUUUAAAUUUUUUUAAAUUAAUAUAAAUAGCAAUAUUACUCCGGAUUAAUAUAUUAAUUUAACUAUGAAUUAUAUCACUUUUUACUUUGAUAUUUAUUAAAAUUUUAUAAUUUAAAUAUUUUAUUUCUAUUUUAUAGUUAUUUUAUAUUAUCAACUAAUAUUAUUAAGUAAAAUGAUGAUAUAAUAAUAUUAAUCAAAUGAAAUCGAUUAUCUCUUGGAUCAAAUGAAUAUAUUAUUAAAAUUUAUAUUUUAAAAUUAUAAAUUUGAGAGAAUUUAUACAUAUAAUAUUUUUUUCAAUCACUUUAAGUAAUAAGGUAUUGGACUUUAAGUAAGAGUAAAAAUUUCAAACAAACAAAAAAAAAGACAUUAAUCAAUGAAAUUAUAUCAUGUAUCAUAAUUUUAUUUUUAAAAUUUUUUUGUUAUAAUAAAAUAAAAGUUAGAUAUUAAGUUAUAAAUUUUUUAUAAAUGCAAAUCAUAAAAAAUAUUUAAUGCAAAUAUCAAAUUAAAAGUAAGUCUUCUUUAUUACAAUAGUAAAUUUUCAAUGAAAAAUUUAUAUUUCAUAUAUUUCACCAAAAUCGUUUUACCUCUAAUUUGUUAAUAUAUAAUUAUAUUAAUAAUUAAUUUAUACAAAUUAUAAUUGAUAAAAUAUCAUCAAUGGCACGGUAUGCUAAAAAAAAAAACUUAAAAUCUUAAUUUAUAUUAAAAAAUUUAUUUGAAGAUAAUAUCAUUUAUAUUAGCUAAUAAUAAUUAUUGAAUUUUUUAUUAAAUGAUGAUUAUAUAAAAUGAAUUUAAAAGUUUGGGAUUCAAAAUUUUACAAUUUUAAAAUGUAAUAACUUCUUAUGUUGGUAGCCAAAUUAAAUUUCCUAUAAAAAUAUGUUAUCAACUUAUGUCUACCAUUAAAAAUAAAGAAAAAAAAUUCUUAUCAUGUUCUAAUUUUCCUUUAAACAACUUCAUCAAAAAAAAAAAAAAAAAAACGAGGUAUUAUUGGAAAUAAAAUAAAAACAAAAGCGUUUCCUUAGUUAUCGCUUAAAGAUAUAAUUUAAUUAAAUUGAGUCGAAUUAUUUAAAAAUAUGAUUAAAUUAAGUCGAAUUGAUAUAAUAAAUAUUUUAAUUUAAAUUUGACUUUAAAAUUUAUUAUUUUAAAUUUGAUUAAAUUUUAAUUUUUAAAUUUAAAUUUAACUCAAAAUAAAAACUGAAUUGAUCAAAUUUACUCUAUUAAAUAUAUUUAAUAAAAAAUGAGUUUGAUUCUUAUAAUUAAUUUUAAGUUUUAUAAUGUAUUUAAAUUUGAGUUCAAAUUUAAAUUGAUAUAUAUAAAGAUAAAAUAAUAAUUUUUUAAGUAAAAUAAAUUUGAUUAAAUUUGUUAGUUAUUCAAUUAGAUAUUAAAAUAUUUAAAUUUAAUUCUUUUUAAAAAAAUCAUUUUACUUCAAUUCGAUUAAAUAAUAAUUAAAUCAAUUUAAUUUUUUAUUAAAUUAAACUUAAAUAUCUUAAAAUAUUAAUAUCUAUUUACACGUUAUAAUUACCAAACCCGACUCCUUCGCUUGCCUAAAUUAUUUACAUCAUAGAAAACUAUUUCCGUCAAAAUAUUUAACAAUAAUUUUCAAUUUUCCUUUUCUUGAUCUCGGAGAAGAAAAAAAAAAGACUAUAAAAUUUUCCAGUACGGAUAACUCUAUGUAGUCCCCGAUGCGUGGCCAUGAUUGGAUCAACACAUGUCUUCCGGACGAGCUGAUCUUGGAGAUCUUACGACGGGUGGAUUCCAAAGCCAGCCACGAUGCCUGCUCCCUCGUCUGCAGACGGUGGCUCCGUCUCGAACGGCUUGGUCGCACCACCCUCCGAAUCGGCGCCUCUGGAAGUCCAGACCACUUCGUCAAGCUCCUCGCUCAACGGUUCAUCAAUGUCAAAGCCGUUCAUAUUGACGAGAGAUUAUCCAUUUAUUUACCUGUCAACGUGGUAAUCAAAUCUAAAAUUCGUCAAUUUACGAUAAAUUUCAGUUUUUUUUUGCGUAGUUUUUAAAUAAGUUUGGCAUUUAAUGCACCCUGAAUUCUGAAAAUGAUAAUUAUUACAAUAGUUAAAUACUUUGAUUAUCGCUUUUGUUAUUUACUUAGCAAAUUGUAAAACAAAUUACUAAAAUAUAAUAGGGAUUGUAGUAUAAUUAAUCAAUACAUGUAAAAGGAAUAUCAUUUAUUUUUGUUAGACCCAAGGAUUCGGCUAUUCGUGUGCUGUAAAAUACUAAAAUUUGUGUAUUCAUAUUAUGUUUUACACUAAAAUUAUGUGUCAUAAUUCAUCAUUAAAAUAUGAAAUACUUUUUUUAUUUUGUUUAAGCGAGUAUAGUUAUUGUUAAAAUCUUAAACCUGUGUUAUCUUCGUGUUAUUUUUCCUAUUGUAUUCAUGUUGUGUCACUGUGUAUUUUUAGAUUACCAAGUCUAAUUUUUGUUAUAAAAGAAAAUACAUUUUUAAUAUUUAAAAUUUCAAAAAUAUUGCUUUUUCGCAUGGGGAAGCAAUAAGGAAGUAGUAAAAUCAACGACCCAAUGAUAGACAUGUUAAUGAGGUAGUUUAAGUUGUUGGUGCAGGGGAAAAAGCAUGGCAGAGAUGGGAAUUCAUUGACAUCUCUCAAGGUACACUACGCGGCUGAAAAAUUGGGUACGAAGAAGAGGAGUGCGAAUCAUUCUGUCUGACAGAUGCUGGUUUUGACUGCUGUCGCUGAUGGCUUUUCUAAACUAGAAAAGUUGAGCUUAAUCUGGUGUUAUAUGUUACAAGUUUGGUAUAGUGUCCCUUGCACAAGAAAUGCUCUUCUUGAAAUCCUUGGAUUUGCAGGUAAUUCAUCAUAUUUGAGUGGAGACUGGUGAUAUUUUACUCUAUCACGUUUGCUCAAUUGGGUUGUUUAUGGAUUAUUUUUCAACAAUUUCGACUAUAUACCACUCUACUUGUCAUGUUCAUUAAGCAAUGCACUACUUGCAGUUUAGUUGCCUAUGAUGUUUUUCUGUAGGGUUGCUAUGUUGGAGAUCAAGGUCUAGUUGUUGUUGGCAAGUGUUGCAGCAAACUUGAGGACCUAAAUUUGCGUUUCUGUGAAAGCUUGACUGAUGCAGGAUUGGUUGAUUUGGCCACUGGUUGUGGGAAAUCAUUGAAUCUCUUGGUGUUGCUGCUUGUGCGGGAAUAACUGAUAAAUCACUGGAAGCUGUGGGGUCUCAUUGCAAAUCUCUGGAUACCUUGUCACUGGAUUCCCGAGUUUAUCUGCAAUAAAGGGAUCCUUGCUAUUGCCCGAGCUGUUCUCUUUUGAAAGUCUUGAAGUUGCAAAUGUAUUAGUGUUUACAGAUGAGGCUUUGAUGGCAGUGGGAAUUUCUUGUUUGUCAUUGGAAAUAUUGGCCUUGUACAGUUUCCAGCAAUUUACAGACAAGUUAGUUACUAUUCCUUAGAAAGAUCACCAUAAGUGAAUUGUAUGCCUAAGGCUAUUUGACCAUUUUGUUCCCCCCUCUAAUUCUGUCUUUUGGAAUAUAAGUGGACCCCAAAGUUUUGUUGUCUAAUUCUAAGGUCUAUUUAUUAUGUUUUAUGAUACAUGGUAUGACUGCUGAAGUAUACAUCUGAUUUAUGUCUCAGUGGUUUUCGUGCUAUUGGAAAAGGGUGCAAGAAGCUAAAAAAUCUUACUUUGAGUGAUUGCUAUUUCCUGAGUGACAAGGGUCUGAAGGCAAUCGCCACUGGCUGCACUGAAAUUACACAUCUUGAAGUUAAUGGCUGCCACAACAUUGGAACCAUUGGACUGGAGUCUGUUGGGAAAUCAUGCCCGUAUGUUCUGUUAUUUUCCCUUACCACUCUUUUAAAGGGACAGGAGGCCUGACUUUAGCAGGAGCUAGGGAUCAUAUGCAGUUCCUAUUGUUGGGCAUUCUUUGGUUUUCCACAUGUAGUUAAUUAAAAUUACCACGUAAAAUUUUAUUGCAAAUUUUUAACUGUGUCGAUUCUGAAGCUUGUGACUUGGUGUAGGCGCCUCACUGAGUUGGCUUUAUUAUACUGCCAGAGGAUUGGUAAUUUUGCUCUUCAUGAAGUUGGAAGGGGCUGUAAAUACUUGCAAGCUCUUCACUUGGUAGAUUGCUCUAGCAUUGGAGAUGAAGCGAUUUGCAGUAUAGCAAAAGGUUGCAGAAAUCUGAGGAAACUUCAUAUUUGGAGAUGUUAUGAGGUCUCUUUCUCUCUCUCUCUGUGUGAUGGAAUUUUUCCUCCAACUACAAAUAUUCUUGAACCACUACUACUGACUUGCUUGGGUGCUAUCCUGUUCUACAUUAGGAAAAUGGUUUUGCCUAUUGCCUGGAAAGGGAAACUGUCUAUUUAACGAGAUUUCUCCUCCUCCUCCCUCUCUCACUGAUGUCUUAUGUAGGACGUUUUUCUUUUCUGUGUAAGAUGGCAGUUAGAUGGUUAUUAUUUUAAGAAUGGAGUUUUGAACCAAAUAUUUUCAGAAAUGAUUGAAGUAAGAAAUUUAUUGAUAGUUUUUAAUGCUUCAUCUUUUUAGUCUCCAUCUUAUGUAGACUUGCUCGUAUCUUUCGAUGCUGGCAGUCAUUUGUUUUCAGUUUCAGCAAUUAUAAAUUGUGAUAUAAAUCAUAACUUGUAUGUCUUCCAUUGUCGAUAGGUUGGAAACAAGGGAAUCAUAGCUGUUGGUGAGCAUUGUCACUCUCUCACUGAUCUUAGUCUCCGAUUUUGUGAUAGGUGCAUCUCAUUGCAGUUUCCUUCUGGCUUAGUUUGUGUGAUAAUGCUAUUUCUUCAUGCUGUUUCAUGUUUUCAGCUGUUCUUGAUUUUUGUUUUGUCUGAAAUAUGGUUCCCUUAAUUGGCAUUUUAUCUAACUUUAGCCUUUUUCUAUUAGGGUGCAGGAUGAGGCUCUUAUUGCCUUAGGUCAGGGAUGCCCCUUAGAACAUCUAAAUGUCAGUGGCUGCAACCAAAUUCGGGAUGCUGGAAUUGUAGCCAUUGCAAGAGGAUGCCCUCAACUCACUUACCUAGAUGUCAGUGUUCUCCAGGUGUGUCCCUCUCCCACUCCGCCCCUUUGCUUCUGUUCUACUUUCUUUGUACGCUCUGGUCAUUAUGCUUACUUCUUCUGAUGCUGUACUCUGAUAAAAAUAUUUUGUUUUCGGAAUCUCAAGUGAACUUCAAUCUGACUGUUAUUUAUUUUGCUUGCAAUUCCUUUUCAAUACUUGCUUAUCAAUUCCUUCAUGGAAGAAUUUGGGGGAUAUGGCACUGGCCGAGUUAGGAGAAGGUUGUCCCUUACUCAAGGAUAUAGUGCUCUCACAUUGCCGCCGAAUAACAGACAUAGGUCUUUCCCACCUCGUUAAAAAUUGCCGAAUGCUCGAGUCUUGCCACAUGGUUUACUGCCCUAGCAUAACCGCCAACGGAGUUGCCACCUUGGUUCUAGUUGCCCCAACAUAAAGAAGGUUCUGGUUGAGAAAUGGAAGGUUAGCCCUAGAACCAAAAGAAAAGCCGGCUCAGUCAUCUCCUAUCUCUGUGUGGACCUGUAGUUAGGACAUCAAGUUGUGCAUAUCAAAGCUGGUCACAUUGACACGAUGCCUUGCCUGCUUAUUUAAUGGUUUUUUCUUUUUGCCCUUUUCAGAGUCACUUUCCAUGUAUUAUCAAGGCUCUUGUUAUAUGCAUUUUCUUUAAUAAGAUUUUAUAUUUUUAGUGAUAAAAUCUUUGGUUAGGAAGUUUUUUCUACAUUUUUGUUCAAAAUAUUUGUCAAAGUCUUAACCAAUAAAAGCUGCAGCUAUGACAUAUUAAAUCUUUUUUCUGUAAGAUGAGAGAAUAUUAUUAUUUAUUUUUGAAAUUUACCACGUAUUAAUUCCAUUCCAUGUGCCAUUCUUGACAAAUUGUAAGAGACAUUAAUCCCAAGGAAAAAAAAAAUUACUUAUGAAUUGACUUGAAUAUGUAUAAAAAAAAUCUGUUUAUUAAUAUUUUUAUUGCAAAAAAUAAUAAAAACUAAAAAAUAAAAGAUAAAUAACAAAACAAUCAAUCAAAUUAAAUUAAUAAUUCUAUGCAAUCUUUACUUCUUUAAUUUCCUUAUCUGUUUGGGAUUUUAAUUUGGCCCCAAAAAAUCGGAUUUUAAUAAGAAAAAAAUAUGCCAUUUGUUUAUUUUAUCGGUUUAAUUAAAUUAUUUUUAUUAAUCGAAUUAAAUUUAUUAAUUUUAAAAAUUAAUUGAUUAAAUUAAAUUCAAUCGAUUCAAUUAUUUUUUUAAUUAAUUAAGUAAUAAAUAUUUUAAAUUAAAUUAAAUUUUUAAUUUUUAUAUUUUAAAUAAAUUAAAUAAAAUUAUUUAAUAAAUAUUUAAAUACUAAAAUAUUAUAUUAAAAACUCUAAAAAAAUAAAAUAUUUUUUUAUAUAUUUUUGUUUAUAUUUAAAUUUUGUUAUAUUUUUAUAAAUCUACUUAUCAAACUAAAUUAAUUAAAAAUUAAAAAUUUUUUAAAAUUAUUUUUAUUAAUUAAUUAAAACUAAUUCAACAACUGAUUAAUUAAUCAAAAUAAUUCGUUUCGAACAAUUAAUUCAAUUAAAAUCGAUUUAUGAUUGUCCUUACAAAUGCAAAUCCAGGCGUUUUGAAUAAUGAGCAAAGCUUGGACAGUUACCAGAUUCCAAAAAAGAACCCGUCUUCCUACUUUGCUCGGCACCUUCGUUUUUUCCCAUUGUCAAUCUUUCUCUCUCUUUCACUUCAAGCAAAAACGAAAAGUGAAAUCCAAUCCAUGCCUAACGAUUGCAGUAUCAGAGCUCUGUGGAUCCUCAACAAUCUCGACGCCGUCGUUUUCUCCAGGUUUUAUCCAUCAGCGGAACUCGCUUUCCAUUUCAAAAUCUCUCAUACAUGAAUAUUUUAGGGAUUUGUUCUCUUUUUUUUUUUACUUUUUUAAAAAGAUUUGGAAAUAGAACUCGAUAUUACUUAAGAGGCAUGCUUAAGCUCCAAAUAAUUUUAAAAAAUGGAAAAUUUUGAUUUAGUUUGUUUAAACAUUCAGGAGGUUUCCGGUGGUGGAGAAGCGGUGGCUAGCUGCUUGCCAAACUGAAAGCCAUAGCUCGGAUGACGAUCCUGUCAAGUACACUGUAUUUUCUUCGCUUCCCUCGGAUUCAGAGUUAGCUGCCGCUUUCUCUGAGAGAAGGAGAAGGUUAGAUAAUCUUCCAGUAGCUCUUUAAAAAUCUUUUUCAUUACUGACAUGAACAUUCGCUUUUAUUACUUUUUUUAAGCUUGAAUCGCAUGUUAUUAUUAUGGCCUAGGUAAUUAUGCUGUGGAAUUAAAUAGUUGCUUAAUCCAACGAAAGCCUUAUUAUUAAUGCUUCAUUUGUUUGUUAUUUUAGCAACUUAUCUUUUGCCUCCGAAAGCAAAAACUAAAACAAUGUAUUUGGGUUAAAAAACAAAGAAUAUUAUAAAUGUAACACACAAACAUAGCUGUUUGAUAUAAUCCUGCUUUAAUGGUGUUAAUUGCUUUUCAAUUUUUAACUUUGAUUUUGAUAUAUGUGUUUUGUUAAUUUUUACUUGUUUGCUGUGUUUUACAGGGAGGGGUCUGUCCGGGGAUUUGGUAUACGGGUAAUACAGUCAAGAGAAGGAUCAGAUUCAUGGGUUGAUGAUCCGAUUACGCGUCAUAUUAUAGGCCUUUACAUAAACAAAGAGGAGGAAGGAGAGAAUAAUCUAUUGUGGCCUUUAGCGUUGCACAUAAAGGGUCCGUAUUGCAUCCUUAUACUGCCUUUACUUGAGCCGAGAUAUGUAAAGGCUUACGAAAGGUUGUGUAAGAGAUCUGAUUGUGGAAAUGCUGUCAUGGUAGAUGAAUAUUUAUCUUCUGUACUCCUUGAUCUUCCAUCCAUCACAGGGUAUGGUAAGUUACAUGCUGUAUUAUUCAUUUAAGGUAGUGCCGGCAGAUUGUUUCCAACAUUUAAAAAAAAAAAAAUCUAUAACUCUUUCUUUUUCUUCCUUUUCCUCUGUGAAGUUCUUAUCUAUUCUGUUUGUUCAGCUUCCUCUAUUUUAAGCUGGCUUUUCAUAGUCAUUUUCUAUAAGUUAUUGUUUUGUAUAACUCUCUGUAUCUUUAAUUUAGAAAUAGCUAUGAAUGAAUGUGAAAUUAUUUUGUCCUCGAUGUUAUGAGUACCUUCCGUGACAUGCCUUACAUGGAACAGAAAGCUAUGAGAAUUUACUACCGUGAUUUGUUAUGUUGUAAUUGUCAGUAAAGCUGGUGCUCAGCUUGUUUUGUGCAUUGAGUUUGUCAUACAACUGUUUCACACAUUAACUGAAUACAACUUGUCUAUAUAUAUAUAUAUAUUAAUUCAGUUUUUUCAAAAGGUUCAUUAUCUUUCAGUUCAUUACACAAUUUUGCAUCCUUUAUGUUACUAGGAAAAAGGGAGGUGACCUAUUGUUUUAGUUCUUUCUUUUCCUAUGCUGCAGGGCAUUCAUGGUGGCUCAUGCCAUCGGUGACAUAGUUACUGGGGAUGUAGUAGAGCCUGAGGUGGUUGUAAGUGCAUCACCAUCAGUGGGUGGGUUGUUAGACUCACUCACUGGAAGUAUUGGGAUAUCAGGAAUCUCUUCAAGGGCAAAGCCAGUAGCUGCACCUGUUGCAUCUUCUACACCAUCUGGCACUGCUGUGAUAGGAGCUCUUGCAUCUGAUGUUCAAAAAUUGGUUCAAGGCUUUUGGAUAAAGAUGCACUUAGAAGUUUCAUAAGUAGCGCAAUGCCUUUUGGUUGGUAUUUUUUUGUUAUGUUAUUUAUCAUCACAGAUGUCCUUUUAUAUUUUUUUAUUGUGGAUUAUCAUUAGUUUGCCUAACACUAUUUAAUGAUGAGUAAUUUAUCUUUUAUACAGGAACUCCCUUGGACUCAGCUAUUCCAACAUUUUCUCUAUCAAGGUAAAUGGCUUUUCUGCGUUAGAUAUGCCUCCACAAGACCUCAAGCAACCGGCAUGGAAGCCCUAUCUAUACAAAGGAAAGCAGAGAUUGCUAUUCACCAUUCAUGAAACUCUUCAUGCUGCCAUGUUGAUCGAGAUGAGAUUCCAGAUAGUUUAUCAGUCUCUGGGCAGAUAAACUGCCGAGCAGAACUGGAAGGACUGCCUGAUGUGUCAUUCCCCUUGACAGGGUUGAGCACAGCUAAAAUUGAGGCUUUAUCAUUCCAUCCCUGUGCUCAGGUUCCGGAACAAAAUGUAGAUAAGCAGGCUUUGAUGUUCUCACCACCUUUUGGGUAAUUUUGUGUUGAUGCGCUAUCUAGCAACAUGCAGUCUUGGACCUCCUGUAAAGGGAUUCUAUCAAUUGUCUAUGGUCUCUGAGGAUGAAGGUGCAUUUUUGUUCAAAUUGCACCUAAUGGAAGGUUAUCAGUCUCCUUUGACGAUGGAGUUCUGUAAUGUGACUAUGCCUUUUCCAAGAAGAAGGGUUUUAUCUUUUGAUGGGACCCCAUCAAUUGGAACAGUUUCAUUUGCAGAGCACUCUGUUGAAUGGAAAAUUAUCACAAGUGGACGAGGGCUUUCUAGGAAGAGUAUUGAGGCAACAUUCCCUGGAACAGUUAGGUUUGCCCCUUGGCAGACACAAAGAUUAAAUUCCGUUAGGUCAGUUUUUGAAAGUGCGACAGAUGAAGAUAGUGACAAUGAGACAGAGAAUACUAAUAAUAUGGUAAACAUAGAGGAGCUCUUAAUGGAGAAAAUGAGUAAGGAUCUUACUCCAGUUGAUCUAGAGGAGCCAUUUAGCUGGCAUGCAUACAACUAUGCUAAAGUAUGUUUUUUUGUCUUGACUUUUUUAGCCUUUGGUUGUUUUUUUGAGUUUCGGGAAUUCCUUCAAGUUACUGUAUUUUAUGCUGAUUUAUCAUCUGCGGACUUCUUUUCUUACCCUAAAAAAAAAGAGCGAUUGGCCUUGUCUGGUCUAUGCGUGUUAGCUAUAUAUGGAAAGGAAAAUAUUAUUAAACGGCAAUGAACUUUUUCUUACCUAGAGUAUGGCUAUGACUCAAUUCGAGAGAAUGCCCCUAGCCUUAUAGAGCUGGCUCUUAAGGGUCCAUCUUCUGCUGGCUUUCUGUCCUGGUCCCUUCUUCUAAUAUUGGUUCCCUUUUGAUUAAGGGCUGCGAUGACACCAUUCAAGGAGUUGCAAAAAAACUGAUUCCAACUCCUAACUAAAGUAAAAAAAAAAAGUCCCCAAAAGGAAAUGUAACAUCAAACAUGGAUUUGUGACCUGGUCCUCACUUAUGGUUACAGGUAUCUUUCAAGGUUGUUGGGGCAUCAUUAUCUGGAAUGUCUAUUGAUCCCAAAUCAGUAAGUCUACAUUUCUCCAACUUGCUUCCCAUGUUUAACUUCAGUUGACACUCUGCAUAAUGUAACAACUAACAAGAACAUAAAUGGAGAUUGUUUAUGUUAUACUCAAGUUGCUAGCUUUCCUAUGUAGGUAAGCAUCUAUCCUGCUGUAAAAGCACCUGUAGAGUUAUCGACGCAGGUAGAACGGUCUCAAAACACCAAUUUAAAUUUUGAUAGAUUUAGCUUUAUUUUCCUUUUGAAAUGACAGUCGAUUGUAUUUGUCCCUGAUCCUCUUCCUUCUGCGUUUAAGGAAAUGUACAGUUUUGUUGACUUCUGGGUUUAUAAACAGGUCACUUCUGGGGACUAUAUCAUGUGGAAUACAUUAGGAAAGUGCCCAUCUGCUGUUACUGCAAAAGUGUAAUGGAUGGCAUACAAUACCUCUCAUAAACGCAGACGGAUUUUUCACAAUGGGGUCAGCUGCCUCUACUGAAAUCUUACCACUUUUUUUUUUUUUUUUGUAUUAUGUAAUUACUAGUACUAGUUUAAAAGUAGUUUUAAUUUUGCUCUCAUUGAAAUUUAAUUGGCAUUUAUUUUAAAUUUAUUUAGACUUGUAUUAACAUCGACAAGAGGUUAUAUCUCCUUGUGAUGCCCACAUUCACCGAAUUCCACCAUAGAAACGCCUGUUCUGAUUCAGCUUACAUUUUCGAACCAGCAAUCUUGUGGGUCAUGGAAUUAGCCCGUAGAAAAUACAUCCCAAAACUGAAGUUAACCAUUUUGCACAGGGAUGACCAUGGAUUGUAAAUAAAUGGAUAUUUAUUAUUAUUUUAUUUGUUACAGAUAAUUAAUAAAUUCGAAUAAAAGAUUUAUUAUCUGUGAUAAAUAGGAAUAAUAUUUUUGAAAAUUUAAUAUUCAAAUUCGUUUAAAUUUUAAUGAAUAAUAAUAAAUAUCUAUAUCCGAAUUUAUCAUUCGUUUAUUUAUGUAAACAUAUAAAAUUUUAUGUUUAUAAAAAGUUUAGGAUUUUAAAAAAAUAAUUUUAAUUUAUUAUUAAUUAAUAGUGAAUUUAAAUUUUAAAAUUAAAAUUUUGUUUUUCUUAUAUUUUGAACAAAAAUUUUAAAAUAAUAAAUAUUUUAAUGGAUUUAAAUAUUUAAAUGAAUAAUAUUUAUUUAAAUGAAUUUAAAUUUGAAUGAUGAUAUUAAGUUUAAACGAAUAUUUAAAAAUAUUUAUAUAAUAUAAAUAUUAAAUGAAUUUAAAUACAAAAUAUUCUUUGUUGAAAUAUAGGCUAAAAUUUGCAUAACAUUAUUAUGGUUCUGCUAAUAACUUGUCUUUCAUAUUCACAUCCCAAAGCUUUCCUACAUCGUCGACGUCAAGGUCUGAGUCCAAGUAAUGUUUGAAAUAUUUUAAAAACGCUGACCAAAAAAACAAUUGUUAAUUGAUUAAACAUGAUGUAUUAAUCAAGGAGUGACUUAAAAUCUUUAGAAAGAUUUAAAAUCAAGGAAUGCUCAAGCUUGGAGAUUUGAAUUCUUCAUGAAAAAUAAAUUCUAUUUCAAGUUUACGCCAAAACUUUCGGAUAACCAAACAAUGAUAAUAUUUGAAUGCGAUGUCUGAAAUUUUGCAUUAUCAGAAUGCUCUCACAAAGACAACUCCCAACCAAACUCUCCAUCUGGGUUAUCAAAUUUUGAGUACUCAAGCCACCAGUCUUAUCAACUGAACAAAAAAUACUGACAGAGAAGGAAAGUUGAUUUGGAACAAGUCUGGAAUAGCAGGCAAUGAUUGAUAAUUGACCUUAACAGCCUGAUAAGGUGAUGGAGUCUCAACAUGCGCAAUGCAUUUUUCUGUACAAAUUUCAACUCAAAAUCAAAUGUCAAAAACUGAUUUUUUUUAUGUCUAAAAAAUGCAGAGCUUAUGGCUUAUCCCAUGCGGGUUAUGUUACAUAUUUUCUAAAAACUAAUGACAAGUUCCUUGACUAAUCUCAAAAUAUGUCAAAUUUUGUCAACUGAUCAAAGAAAAAGAUAAGAAGAAAACCAGGCAAAGAACAGUAACACCAUUCCAUUGUCCAAAAGUAAAAGGAUUUUGGUCUCAAUUGACAUAAUUUAACCCAACCCCUCCAAUCCAAUUUUUUUGAGCUUUUCUGUCAACGAGUCACUUCAGAAUUGGGAAGAAUCAAAGUAGAAAAUUGAAGUCAGAUUGACAAUUAUUUUCUUUUAAAUUAUUAUUUAUAGACAUUUUUUUUUAAAUAAUCGUUUAGAUUUUAUCGUAUUUUAGUGUGAUGUGAUUAAGUUUAUUAUCCUUUUAAUUGAAUUUAAAAAUUAACUCUAAUGAAAUUAAAUCAGCAUAAAUUUUUCAUUAAUUUUUUUUUAAAUUAUAGUUAUAAUAAAUUUUAUUAUUAUUUUCAAUCUCACCAUCCAUCCAAAUGAAACUUAAGACAGUUGCUUUGAAGUGUUAAUUUUUUUUAAUAUGUAAUCGUAUUCAUGAAUUUUUUUUUCAUAAAUCAAAAGUUAUGUUUUAAUAAUUUUUAAUUAAUUUUAAAAUUUUAUUAAAAAAAUAAAUUUUUAAUGCGAGGAAUCACAUCUAAUAAAAAAAAUUGAUAAUAAUUUUUUUUUAUUUUAAAAUUUUCGUCGAUCAAUCCCCAAAUUGUUAUAACAAUUUAAAGAAAUAACAAUGAAUAAUGAGAAUCAAAUCCGAGUUUUUGAAACACGAAAAUUAUGUGCCAAACAUUAAAUCAAAAACUAAAUGUUAAGUUUUAAAAGAGGAAAAUGGGAUCAUCAUAUAAUUAAAGAUGUAAAGGGGGAAACUGGUGGAACAUGAUUCUCUACACUGGGAUUGAAUUAUUUAAUUAAAGGGAUUAAUUCUUAAGCUUGAUGCCUUUUGUAUCAUGCAUGUCACGUUAAGCAUAUAAUCUUACUCAUAACAAUAUCAACAUUAUAAUCAUUAUGUUACAUUUUUAGCAGGAUACACUUCUUUUCUUCGUCUCAUUUCCCUACUUCUAGAGUAAUAGAUUCUUUGUCUGCCUAAUGAAACCACCUGGUGGGCUUCUUAAGGGCCUGUUUGGGAUGCAAGAAAACCCUUAGUACUUAAACAAUUCCAAUAUUCUAUGUCAAAUUAUCAAUUUACACCAAUAAACAAACCAAUUUCAAUUACGUUUUGUAAUUCAGUAAACCUUACAUAGACAUAAAAUGUGUUUUGAGCUGUUCAAAUAUUCCUAAAUUAAGAAGGAAAAAAGGGUUUUUCUAAAGAGUCAAAGAAAAAGAGAAUUAAGUAUCAACUAAAGGUUGAUUCGACCCUUUAAUUCAUUGGUCUUGAGAAUAAAAAAUUUUGGAUUCAGCCAUUGGUGACCAAUUGAACGAAUUACACACAUAGGUUUCAAGCUCCCUUUGGCAGGAUGAUGAGAGAUACUCAUAUUGCACCGUAAUGUUAUUUUAUGAUUAAAAUUUUAAAAAUAUAAUAAAAAAAACGUAAUUAUAAUAUGAUGAAAAAAAAAUUUUACUGUGUUUUCACUAAAAAAAAGAGAAUUAAGUAACAAAGUUUCAAGUGAGAUAUGCUUUGACAACAUAUCCCAGAUAAGGAUUUGAAAGAAAAAAAAAAAAGCAGCUAAUCAUAAGUGCUGUUCUAAGCACUUAUUAGAACCAAGUAUUAAUUAGGGUUCCAAGAUGUCGGCAGUGCUCUCUACCUGUUGGUCCACUAUCACAAAAGCCUAAUCACCAUAUCACAUAUCGCUUUGCUCUUCCAAAAAAGCUCUCUUAUUGUGGAAAGUGAGGAAAAUGUAGGGAGCUUUUCAAAGAGAUUUGUCCAGAGAAAAAAAAUGUUAAAAACGAGGGUGGGUUAUGAAUUAGGGAUACGUAGAAAAGUUGGGUUUAAUAAGUUAAUAGUAAGGAACCAGCUUUUGAAAGAGGGCAGAGAGUUGGAGCAGAGGGAACAUGAUGGCCUCCUUGUUUACAUAUCCAUGCCUGACACCUUGGUCCCAAUUGGCAUUAUCAAUGGCAUCAAAAACAAGUGUUUGGGGUCUCUCUAAAUUUUAUGAAAUCUCUUGAAAUUCUCUCCCAUUGCAGAACGAAAACAUGCAUUUUUCUACUCACUUUUCUAUGGGUCCACUUGUUUUUUGUGCUACUCUGGGUUGGUCUAAUUUUGGCUCCCAGGGCAUAAGGAAUGACUCAUGGUUAUGUCAUUGACAUUGCAACAUUUGAGUUAAUGUCUUAAAGGAUUGAAUUUUUAGCAUUCUAAAGUUCUUCAUAUUGCCUUUCAUUCUCUUUUUUCUUGCCUAAAGAAUCAAAUUUUCGUAUUCAUGUUGGUUGUGUGGGAUAUUUCAAAAAUGAAGAGUUAGCAGCACAACUAAAACAACAAAGAAACAUGAAAUUUAGCAAGCAAAAAUGAGAAGUCCAUCCGUAGGGAGACUAUGUAGCCAAGAAAAUCUUAGUCGUAUGUAACAUAGGAGAUGGGGGUUUGGGGUUCCAUCGUCAAAUGUAAAAUCAUUCAUCUCGACGUAAAAGUUUUAGAUUCCAAUUUAAUCGAUACUUUUUUAUUUUAUUAAAAUAAUCUCAAAUAUAUUAUCUUCAACUAUUAUUUUUAAACAAUCGUAUAUAACGCUCAUCUUAUUCCAAAGACAGACGGAGAUGAUUGGGUGGGACAGAACACUCAUGUACAGUACAAGCAUACUUAAAACUGUACGGUGAAAGGAAAGGAAUAAGCCAGUAAUAGUAGUUGUGUAAAGUGGUGGCAAUUGGGGUAAGUCAGAGAUAGAGAGAAGUGUGACACAGUAAAAUGAUUCUUGCUUUGAGCAAAUUCAUUUUUUAUCAGAAAGAUUCUGCAUAUUCCUUUUCUUUUUAUCAAGGGAAGGAAAGGACAGAGGGAGGAGAAGGGAUUCUUACACAAUAUCAAGCACGGAGGAAUGAUGCAACGAUGUCGGUUUGUCUGUUAUUUUCAUCCUCGUUGGUUGAAUAAUAGAUUUUGCCUUUGCCCUGCAUGGGGCUCGAGGCAUGUAUUUUCACUCAUUUUCAUGGGUGACUGAGAAAGAGAGGGAUUUUGUUUUCUAUGAGUUUUGUGGGCUUGGCUUUUACAAGGUUACUAUGUUAUGGCAAUGGCAACUUAAAAGGCUACCCUAACAUUUCUGUUUUGCCCUCAAAAAAUCUUAGCACUACGAGGUAUGAUUUCUUGUGGGAGCCAUAUCCAACUCGAAUAUUAAGACAGUUGUUCUUUCACUUCAAUAUCUCCUGUUUGUCACCAUUUAUCCACAUCUCUUUCACUAGUGUAAUUCACCCAAACGUUACCCCACCAAAAUUAAAAAAAAAUUACUAAAAACAUGAAUGUUUAAUGGUUAAUCCGAACCGGGAUUUGAUUUAAAUUUUUAUAUUAUAUAAUAUUAUUAACAUUAAAUAUUUGAUUUGAAUUAGAUUUUAUUGAUUUAGUUUGGUUUUUUUAAUUUUUAAGUUUUAAAUUUUUAUUAUUUAUAAUUAUUUUAAUAUAUUUUUAAUAUAUUAAAUAGAUUUCUAUAUAAAAUAAUUAUUUUUUAUUUUAUAAAAAUUUAAAAUAUAAUUCGAUUCGAUUCAAUUUUUUUAAUUUUCAAUGUCUUAAUCCAAAUUAAUAUAUAUAUUUAAUAUCUGAAUUUAAUUUGAACCAAAUAAAAAGUAUUUAUUUAAAUUAAAUUGAAUAUUAUAAUUUCAAAUUAAUUUUUAAUUUUUUCAAUUUUUUUUCUCACCCCUAUAUACUCAUGCUUCCUUUCCAAUCUCUUCCAAUAUUUGACCAGGAAAGCACUCAAACCCAACAAAAAUGAAUAUCAUCAUACCAUAAAACUGUUACAUAUGCUUGGAAGAUUUGGUUUUUGACUAGUGAAAUGUAGUUCUAAUGUAAUGUCAUGCAAACCAAAACAUCCCAAGUUUGGUGACUUUGUGUGAAUCGGGAAAGUCAAUGGAGGUGAAAGGGAGAGAUCCUAAUUCAGAACGCACACCAUUAAAGCUCCCAAAAAGAGCUGCUUGACGACAAGUUGAAAGUGAUAUAUAUCCCAAUGAAAAUGAACCCCAAAUCAAAGCUCUCAUCAGAGCAUGUGGACACUAAUGUCAUGUAAUCAUUAUCAUCUCAUCGUAAAAUCAAUUUAUUCUAGUGUAUACUUAUAUUUAUGUAUCUAAUAAUUUAUUUUUUUAUUCGAUACGAUAUUAAUAUAUUUUAUUUACUCUUUCAUAUGAUUAGUGUGACAUUUUUUUUCAUUUAAUUUUAUUUUUUUAAAAUAAAUGAAGAAUCGACUCUAAUAUCAUUUAUCAUGUAAUUAUUAUAAUUUUUUUAUAAAACUUAUUUAUUAAAAGUAUAUAAUACCAAUAUUUAUAUAUUUAAUAAUUUUAUUUUUUAUCCAAUAUAAAAUUAAUAUGCACUACUUAUUUUUUUAAGUGCUUAGCGUAACAGUAACAUAUCAAAAGGAACAGAAGCACAUACAAAACACAAGCGUUGGUGGGCCGUAUGUACAAUUUUAACAAUAUUUUGUGCGCAUGAUACAGUAGCACUCAGCAGGGCUCAUUUAUUAGUGCUACCAAAUAAAUUAAAAAAAAAAAAAAAAAAAAGGAAACCUACCCAUUAAGUUUUGGGUUGCCGCAUGUGUGGCAAAUGGUGCGCGUGCAAGCAUGUGUGGCGGCUAAAGGCAACUUGUUCCAUGCCCAGCGAAGUGCAGGUGUCGACCAACCAAGGCCCCUGUGGGAUUAUCUGUCCAAGAACAAAUUCAUGGCUGGACCCUUGUUUGCCAAGAUGUUAGGGCGCACAUUAGAUGAUGUCUUGUUGCAAUGGGGCCAGGCCACGGUCGUUGUCGGGGGUCACAUUCAACUGAUAAGUGGGGCCACACAUGGGGCUUAGCUUAGGUUGCAUGAUUUGGGUUUGGCGGUAGGAGAGGUUAAAAAGGUGGCAAAGUGGGACAAAAGAUUAGGAUUAGGAUUAGGCCUGGUUUUUUUUUUUUUUAAUUUCUUUUUUUUUUUUUGUCCCUUCAAAUUCAGAUGCAAUAAUUUUAAAUUUUAAUAAAAUAAUACAAAAAAAUAAUGAAUUCAAAAUUUAAUAAAAAUUUAAAUAUAUUUAUUUUAUAUUUAAAAUAUCAAUAUAAAUUAUAAUAUAAUAUUUUUUAUAUUUAAUAAAAAUAUACAUAAAACAAAAACAAAAAUCAUCAAAUGUAAUCCAAAAUUACCCAAGUUUUUUAAAAAGUAAAAUUAAAUCCUAACAAGGAAGAUUUUGGUUGCAUCUUUUGAUGUAAAAGGUUGGAUUUUGUUGAGAGUUUGGUUGGGACUUUUAAAGCAAGAUUUGAUUUAAAUAAUAAAUAGGUAUCAUUGUUGGAAGUGUUUGACCAUUUUUGUUGAGAGAGACAGACCCAAAAAAAAAAAAAAAAAAAAAAAGAGAGAAAAUUUAGAGAAGAGUUGAGUCGAGGGUUAGAGGGAGAGGAACUUUUUGUGUGCUUGAGAUAGAUAGUGUGUGAGUUUGGUGAGUGCGCGUGCAGCUCAAGAUGUCGGAUUGUGGUCAUAAUGGAGGCUGCCCUGCCAGCCCACCCAUAUAAGAUGAUUCAUGACGCAUACAUUCUGAAUCAUUCCCACCCUUUAAAACUGCAUAUUUCAAUUUUAACUAAACAUUUUUCAUCAUUAUUAUUGCCUCUCCACCCUUGCAUUUCUUCAUUUUGUUUUCAUGUACUCCUUUGUAAUUUUCAUCAAUAGAUAAAAGCAAUUUUCCAUAUUAAAUUAAAAUUAAUUAGGAUCAUCUAGUUGAUAAAAACAAAUGUGUUUUUUUUUUUAUCAAUUAGGAUUUUAUUAUCGUGAAAAACGCAUUUCAAAAAUAAAAUUUUGAAUGUAAGAGAUUGAUGAAAAAAGUGCACUCUUAAAGUUGUUAAAAAAAUUAAUCAAAGCAAAAUUUAAAAAUACCUUUAACCAUAUUAUAUAUAAUAUUCAAUUUGAAACAAGCUAGUGAAAUGGGAUAAUAUUUUAUUUGAUAUUUUAAUUAUUUUAAUUUAUUUAAUGUGGUAUCUAAAUUAAAAAUAUUUGUAAUAAGUUUUUAAAUUUCAUUUUCAUAUACUAAAUUAUUUCAACUUUUAAUAUCAUUAGAAUAACAUUGAUGUAAUACUUAAAUAUUGACGUGAAUGACACGUGAUUGUCAUGCAACAAUGAUAUAAUUGUUAUGUGUUAUUUUUUAAAAAUUAAAAAAAUUCUUUUUUAAAAAUUUUAUUUUUAAAAAUAAUACAUGACAAUCACGUCUCAAAUUAUAUGAUAGUCACAUAUCAUCCAAGUUAGUAUUUAAAUAUUACAAUAAUAUUAUUUUAACAAUAUUUAGGAUUGGGACAACUUAAUAUAUAGAAAUGAAAUUUAGAUACCUAAUUCAAUUUUUUUUUUUUUUUUUGUUUUGGUACUUCAUUAAAAAAAUUUCAAUAAUUUAGAGACCAAACGAAGUAUCAUCCCUAGUGAAUUCAUGCUCCACCAUUUCUAAUUCUAACCAGCUGCUUUUGAGAUAAUGAUGGUACUUUUUUUCUUGUAUUCCACCUUUGCUUAUUCAUGUAUCUCUCCUUUAUACUUGUAGAGGGAAGCUUCCUUGGAGCUUAUCAUGUUGAAUUAUUAUUGUAGUCUUUGGUGUAAAGUCUUAAAUUAAAAGCCAAGGAGACUAAAAAUGUCAUGAGGAAGGUAGUUUAAGUCAAUUAGGAAACUACUUCUAAAAGCUAUAUAUCCAAAGCACUAAUUACCUCCAUUUUCCAUUAUUUUAAUUCUUGUUUAUUUGCUAGUCUAGGUUCAUCUUCAUUAAAGCUACAAAAAAACCACUACAACAUGUUCAAUUUUCUAUUCUUGCAACCUAAAAUUCAUACAGGAAACUAUAUAUAUUAUCUGCAGUUCAAAACUAACUAUGACUUGCAAUUUCCAGGAUUGAAGAAAAACAUGGAAAUAUACUUUUAUAAUCACAAUUCAAAUUAUGUUAAGACAACUUAUAAAAGUUGAUUGAGUCGAUAAAAAUACUUUAUUUAUAAAAUUAAAAUUAAAAUUUUGUUGUAAGCAAAUUUUUUAAUGGGUGAUAUGUAAAUCUUUAUUGAGAGUAUGAGACCAAAAAAAAGAAUGUUAUGACAAACUGAGGCAUUAACAGAAAAAAGUUGUGAAAGAUUUGAUAAGAAAAUGAUGAUUAUUAAAAAAGUGAUAAAAUUAUUGUGUUUAAGUGGAGAUCUGCACUCAAUUUGUGAGAUAUCUUUUAUUUUAACGUGAAGAUUUUAUGAUUUUAUUUCACAAAAAAUGUCUUAUAAGUUUGAGAUUAAAUCUCAAUUUAUAUAUCAUAACAAAUUUUCAAAAUAUCUUGAUGUGAGAUUGAGGUGUUACAAAUUCUCUCUAUUAAAAUUUGAUGUCUCCUCAAACUUAACAUAAAACACAGAUCAAUCAAAUUACACCAAACGUUGGGCAAGUCCAACAUAAAAUGUACACAAAUUACAAGAUCACAUCAUAUGUGAGAAUUCUAGACGUGGCUUUCACCAUAUAAUGCUUAGCACCCACAGGAUUCUAGAAGUGGCUCUACAGUAUAGCACUUAACUUUUAUUUGACUGAUAAUCACUCUGAUACCAUUUAUAAAAAUUCGUACUCAACUUACGAAGUAUUAUCCGUUUAAUUUAAAGGUCUUAUAAUUUUAUCUCAUAAAAAAUACUUUAUAAAUUUAAAAUUAAAUAUCAAUUUAUAUAUAAUAAUAAAUCCUUAAAAUAUUCCAAUAUGAUAUUAGAGUAUUAUAGUUUAAAAAGAACAUUUUCAGUUCAAAUUAAUUAGGGAUAUGGUUAAGAAGAGUGCAUUAAGGAAUGAAAAAAAAAAAAAAAAAGGAUAUAAUGCUCAACUUCAUGGAAUUUUCUUUUUUUUUUGGUUCAUGGAGAAUAAAAAUGAUAUGAGAUUGCUUUUGAUUUUAGGGCUUCCCCUAAUUCAAGGAUAUUCUCAUUACAUAGUUGCCACGCCUGAUUCCUUUUGUAUUUUCUUUUUUAAUUUCUGCAAACUUGUGGUUCUGCAUAAUUAUUAUUUUACUCUAUAAUAAUAUUGAUGAUAUUUUGGCACGUCUAGCUUUUACUAAUCACCAUAUAUGCCUUCUUUCAGAUGGACAAAGCUUCCCAUUUAACCCAGUUGCUCUCAUCUCUUUUCCUACUAAACUUUUCACUGCAUUAACUACUUAAUCCAAAAACAAAUAUUCAAUUCACCAACAAGGUUUUGAAAAAAUAAAUUUAUCCACGAAUGCUUUAUCGACCUACAAUGGUUAAUUCAAGUGAUAAAGAGAUGAAUUUUUUUCGUUGUCAAUGAGAAUUUAAUCAUUAUGAAAAGCAUUUCAAAAAUAAAAUUUUGAAUCAUAAAAUCAAAAUUAGAAAAAAUGUGUUCAUAAAAUUAUCUUAAGCAAAAAAAUUAAAUAAAGACAAAAUCUGAAAACACCUAUCUUUGAAUUAAAAAAAAAUGUUUGUCAUGCUGAAUUUAUUCAAAAUUGCAAGAUUUUCAAUUUUAAAACACAUGUUCAUAAGUGAAUCACUGUCAAAAUUUUGUGAAAUUUUAGUUUAGUGCAAUAAAUUUACUGUUAUGUUAUGUCAUGCUCUAAUCCAGUUUUAUCUCACUGUUUAUUGAAUAAGUUAUGUAUUCAUAUGAUGUAAAAUAUUAAAAUUUAUAUAUUUAUAUGAUAUUUUAUAUAAAAUUAUAUAUCAUAAUUUACGUCGAUAUGAAAAUAAAAAAUUAUUUUUUAUUUUUUAAAACAUAUAUAUAAUUAAUAAUAAAAUUUCAAAUCCUAUCACUUUUAUAUAUUUUUCAUGUUAUCGUAAUAUAUUUUAAAUUAUAAGAUUUAAUUAUAAACCUAGUAGGUACUUGAAAACAUCUAUAAACAGCAAAUUAACAUCACCAGUCAUUUCUAAUUGCAAAUCUGAUGAUUAAUUUUCCUUCAUUGAAACAUUUGGUCCAGCAUAUGAUUAUGUUGCUGUUCUACAAAACUCCCAUGCGAAUGACUUCGAAACAGUAGUUCUCCAUAAGUUUUGACCCAAUCGUCAUGACCACAAUUCCUCUUAUGAAUGCAUUUAAUUUUGAUCUUUUUCAACGGGACUUUAACCCCCCAUUUUGACAUUUUUUUUCCCAUUAAAAAAAGAACAUACCAAAAAGUUUUCAAUGAUUUGAUGAUCCCAUGCUAAAGUCCUAGUUUGUUGGCUAAUCAAAGUUUUGCCUGUGAACAAUAGAAACUUUCUCAAUCUAAAAAAGAUUACAAUCUAAAAAUUAAAAAAAAUUUAAAUUUUAAAUCGAUAAAAUAUCAUCUCGUAAAAAUGAUUACAUGAAUUAAGUUAAGCUCAAUUUUCCAUUUAUCAUGUUUUUACUUACCAAUGAAGCCGACAGUAGGGGUGUUGGUACAAUUACACGUAUGCAUAUCAACUAAAUUUGAGACAAAAUCCGUAAUAACUCUCACAAAAAUGUUGAUGAGCAAAGAAGGAUUAUGUCUAUGAUUAUUGUGCUAUGGUCCCUCUAAUAUAAAUCAGUUCUCCCAACAGCAUCAUCCUUAAAUUAGUACCGAGAAUUAUUCAAUCGAAACACGUUGCUUUUUUUUUCAUGCCUUGUUGCUUCUUCGAAUUCAAACUAUUUGAUUAUAGAUUUGAGAUCAUCUAAAGAUAGAAUGCAAUAGUGGUCUUUUGAUUUGUUCCAAUUUAAUUUUUUUCAUAUAAUCUUAAAACUACUUUCUGAUAUCACUAUCGUACAUUUAUAAAUUUAUUCUUACAAUAUUAAGAUGAUAUAUGAGAAGUAUAAAUAAAGAGAAAAGCUAGGGGGCUUUAUUGAUGCUCAUUAGCAAUGGAGGAAUGGUGAUUGGGACUGACUGGAGAGGUGGCAAGAGUGGGUGCAUGAGCAUGACAAGAACCUGAAAUGCAUGCGCGUGGGCAUAAAUACCGUUCCAUUUUAUCCUUUGUAUCAUGAAAGAUUUCUUCUGUCAAAACAAAGGAAAAGAAAAGGGAAAUUUUUUACAACAAAUCAUCAUCUUAUUCACUUCAUUAUGGCUGCAAUCAUGAUUCUUGGUUGCCUCAUCCGCAUGCCCCCCUCUCCUUCUCUCCCCUUCCACCUUCCACUCUCUCUCUCCUCUCUCUCUCCCCACAAGCCACCUAUAAAAUCUAGUAUCCCUCCCACUUCUCUCUCUCACCUGUAGUUGUUCAAACAUCCAUAAAUUAACAAGAUCUGUCUCUUUUUUCUUGUUUCCCGUUUCUGUUUUCAAGUUUCUGUCUUUGGGUGUUUGUUGUUUUGUUUUGUCAAGGUCUUAGAAAUGGCUGUUUCAGGGUUUGAAGGGUUUGAGAAGCGCCUAGAGCUCCAUUUCUUUGGAGAUGAUCCAGUGAAUAUUGACAAUAUGGGGCUUAGGCUGCUUGAUUUCGAAUCACUCGAGCAAGUUUUACAUGCUGUCCAAUGCACUGUUGUAUCAGCUGUUGGGAACCAUUUCUUUGAUGCUUACGUGUUAUCAGAAUCAAGUCUGUUUGUUUACCCUACCAAGAUCAUCAUCAAAACCUGUGGAACCACCCAACUCCUCAAAUCAAUCGGUCCAUUGAUCCAUUUUGCAAACAAUCUUGGCCUCACUAUAUGCGGGUGUAGGUACACGAGGGGCAGCUUCAUUUUCCCCAAAUCACAACCUUUCCCUCACACCAACUUCAAAGAAGAAGUCAUUUACAUUGAAGAAAACCUCCCCAACAAUCUUUGCCAUAGAAAAGCCUCCGUUUUGCCUUCGAAACUCCCUUCUUAUUCAUGGCACGUUUUCACAGCCAGUGACCAAACUCACCUGCCACAAUUUGCCUUGAAAUCCCCCGACGUUAUGUUCACUGUCGAAGUUUGCAUGACCGAACUCGACCGCUAUCUAGCACGUAAGUUCUUCAAAAAAGCUGGAGAUAGCAAAACAGGGGACUCAGCUGGCAAAGAAAUGACAGAGCUAACAGGCAUCGACAACAUCAACCCUGGCGCCUUCAUUUGCGACUUUGCAUUUGACCCCUGCGGCUACUCCAUGAAUGGCAUUGAUGGUGAUCGUUACUCAACAAUCCAUGUCACCCCUGAAGAUGGCUACAGCUACGCUAGCUUCGAGUGCGUGGGGUCCAUUUACGACGACCAAGAUGACACUGUUGAAACCCUGAAGAAAGCAGUUCAAGUUUUCAAACCAGCAACAGUUUCAGUUUCGACAACAAGCAAUAGCCAUGAAGUUUGGACAAGGGUGGCACAUGCUUUGGAGCCACUGGGACUCAAAUGCCGGAGCUGUGCAAUGGACGAGUUCCCCACCGCCGGUACCAUCGUUUUCCAAACGUUCACCGCGGCUCGCCGUAAAUAAGCCGGAGAAAGAAAACCCAAAACAAAAGGUAGAUAAAAUCAGAGAAGUAGAGAGGUUAGUUGGAGAAAAUUUUAAUUGGAGGAAAAUCAAAGGAUAAAAAUAUGAUGACGUGGAGGAAUUUUAUUGGUUGAAAAGAGUGAUGAAUGUGGUGUUGACUCAAGUAGGAAGAUAAAAAAAAAGUGUAGGGGAUUUUAUGGGAAUGACGUGGCAGAUCAAAAGGUGGGGAGGAGGAGAUGUGAGAAAUUGGAAUCACCAUGAUAAUGCACCCCACUUUGGAUUGUCACGCCUAUGAUUUUUGAGGUUAUAUGUAGUGGUGGAUUAAAAAAAAAAGUGCUCAUGUUUUUGAAGGUUUAUUUGAAAUCUUUCUCUUUCUUUCCUUCUAUUUUCUCCUUUUUUUUUUUUCUUUCCAUUCCAUUUGCUCCCUUUUCUUUUAUGUUUUAGAUGACUAAGAAAACAAAUUACACUCUUUUCUAUUCUUUUCUCUCCUUUUCAAUUGUUCUUCUAUUUCCUCUUGUUUUAUGCAUGAAAUUUUCUUUACAACAAUUAUGCAGCUCUCGUGGAAGUCACCAUAUAUAUUUUAUUAUAAUGAAGAUUUUGAUAUAGUAAUAUUUUGUCGUUUUGUCAUAUAAUUUGCACAUGAUUCAAAUUUUACUUGAGAUUAUGUUUUUUUUUUUUUUAACUUAAGACAAUCAUAUUUUGAAAUUGAUAAUUAAAAUUAAAAGUUAAAUAUUUUAUCAAUAGAAUACGUAAUUAAUAACAACUCGAGCUUAUGUUAUUUAUAUGGUAAAGAGUUGGUCGAUUUCAUAAAAAAAAUGCAAAAGAAAAGAGAAUUAGAAUGGAAACAAAACAAGUGCAAUUGCUUCUUAUGUACGAUGGAUUGAUGGUUUGUUAAAUGCGAAGAGAAUGCUAUACCUACCAAGGAAUUCGGCAAAAUAAUUGAAAAUUUCCCAUGACCAUUUUGCAAAAUACUAGCUUCUAAACUAUAACAAAUAAUAACUAUUUGAAUUGAAUUUGAUUUGAUUUUUUAAAAUAUUAUAUAAUAUUAUGAAUUUUAAAAUUUUGGCGUAAAUUCAAAUCAACUCUUUAUAUUAUUCGAACCAAAUCAAAAAUUUCUUAUUCAAUUCGAUUUAUCAAUUUUGUAAAAUUUUAACUUUUAAAUUAUAAAGGUGAUAACUAUUAGAAUUUGAUUUGAUUUGAUUUAAUUUUUUUAAUAUUGUAUAAUAUUAUGAAUUUAAAUUUUUGAUUUAAAUUCAAAUCGAACCUUCAUAUAAUUUAAAUCCAAUUCAAAUUUUCUUAUUCGAUUUGAUUUAUUGGUUUUUAAAUUUUAAAUUUUUUAUAUAUUAUUUUAAUAUAAAAAUUAAAAUAAAUUUUGAUAUAAAAUUAUUUUUUUUAUUUUAUAAAAAUUCAAAAAAUAUAUAAAUUAAUAAAAUAUAUAAUUCAAUUUAAUUCGGUUUAAUUUUUUUUCUUCUAAUCUUAUUUGAACUAACAUAUAUAUUUAAUAUUUAAAUUUAAUUUGAAUCGAAUAAAAAAUUGACCUAAAUCAAAUCACACAUUACAAUUUUAAAUCAAAAUUUGAUUUUCUUGAUUUUUAUAUCCUAAACUAUUACCAAUAGCUCUGAUGCAAUUUGAAAAAAAAAAACAAGGCCCGUGACCUUUGAGAGAUCCAAUUUUUGAACUAGGCCAACUCAAAAUAAGGUAGCAUAGCCAAUUUUUUGGUCUUAGCACUUAACAUUCGUUUGGCUGCCAUUUAACAUAGCUUGGGAUUGAGAACGAGCUAUACAUGAAAAAUAGUGAUUUUGGCUCAUUUGGUAAAAAAAAAAAAAAAAAACAAGUUUAUUUUUUUAUUGUUUAAAUUUGUUAAAAAUUAUUAAAAAAUAAUUUUUUAAUAAAUUUAUUAAAUCAACGUAAAUAAUUUAAUUGAACUAAUUCAACAAAAAUAUAUAAUAUCGGACGAAAUUCAAAAUCCCUUUACCCUUAAUUAUCUAGUAGAAAUCAAGGCAUGGUGGUUCUGAUUUUGGAGGACAUGAUUUGGGCUUAAUUCUAAAAACCCUUUUUUUCUUUCUUUCCAGACUUGGAAAGUAGGGACAACCUCCUAGAAAGAAUAUGACAAUUCAACAAUACACGAAUAACUUGAUUGCAACCUUAAGUUGAAUUUAAAUAUUAAUUUUAAUAAAAUUAAAUUAAUAUAAAUUUUUUAUUAAAAUAUUUUUAAUCAUAAUUAUAAUAAUAAUUAUUAUUAUUUUCAAUUUAUUGUAAUUAAUCUCAAAUGAAACCUUAAUAUAUAAUUUGUGAGUCAAUAGUUCAUGAUUUGGUUGGCCAAUUUAGAGUAGAUUAAGAUUUGGUUGGGCUUGCUUCUAAGUUUUAACUCGGUUUCUCUCUUGGGGCUAGUUCUUUUGUUAUGAAUACUAAAGCCCAGUUCAAAUGCCAAGUGGAUGCAAUAUUUUAUAAAUGUUUUUAUCUCAAUUUGCUGUAAUUUAUGUUCAACUGGUAGUUAAUUCAGUUCAUAUAUCAUUUUAAAAAAUAAUAUUUAAUAAAUUUAAAUUUUAAAUCUUAACAUUUAUAAUUUUUUUAUAUUUUUAUAUUACGAAUUUUUUAUAUAAAAAAAAAGUUUAAGUGAAGGUUUGAUUACAGUAACUUGUUUAUAAGGUUGGUAAUUUAACCCAUUACCGACGGGUUUUGACUCGAUUUGACCUUACGGGAUCGAUAUUUUUUUUAGUUUCGGGUUAAAUAAGAUUAUGAACAAUCGGGUUCGGAUUUUAGGCAAAUUCGACCCAACCCGAUCUGAUAUUAUAUAAAAAAUUAUUUUUUAAUUAAUUAUUUAAUUAUUUAUUUAUAUUAUAAUUUAUAUAAUGAUAUUUUUAAUAUUUAUAUUUUAAAAAUAAUAUUUAUUAAUUUCGAGUCGGAUCGGAUCGAAUACGAUUUAUAUAAUAUUGGAUCGAGAUUGAAUUCAGGUAUGAAAAAAUAAAAAAAAUUCAAAUAAUAUCAAGUUUAAGACAAACAAAACCCACCCCGAACCUGACUCGAUAUCAACUCUACUUGUUUCCUUUGAUUUCCAGACCCCGGUGAUUACAUUCCCAAGCAAGCAUUAAAUCCAGCAAUGUAGAUGAUACAAAUCAGAUAACAGAAAAGAAAUUUUUAGCUAAUGCAUGUCUUCUAAGUUUUAAAUAACUGAGAAAUGUUGAAUAAGUGUUGAGGAACACUGGAACAGCUUGGAAAACACUCUCUCAACCUAAAGCAAUGGCGAAUCCCCCUUAUGAGUUAGUGUGUUCGUAGACACCUCAAAAUUAAAAAAUAAAAAAUUUGAAGAAAAAUUUUCACUUAAUAAUUCCUAAAUUAUCCAAUGGACAUUUCAAACAUUGAAGAAUUAAAAAAUUUUAUCACUGAACAGUUCCAAAAUUUCUCAUGAACAUUAUUUACGUUGACAAAAUUAAUAAAUUUAUUGAUAAAGAAAUAAAUAUAUAUAUAAAUAAUGUAAGAUUAUGUUUUUUCUUGUGAAAAGAAUAUAUUUGUUGGUCAUAAUUUGAACUGUGACAAUAAUAAAUUAAAUAGUAAAAAUGGCUUGGAUGUAUUCGAAUUAUAAUAUAAUUAUUUCAUGUAAAUAUCUUUAAAUAGUGGUAUUUAAUAAUUUAGAAUUCAAAUUUUAAUAUUUGUAAUUUAUUUUUAUCUUUAAAUUGUAACAUUUUUUUUUUUGUAAAAAAAAAGUAUUUUAACAUAUAAAUCAAAGAAAUUUCGUUAAAUUAGAAACUAUUACAUUAGCAAGCAAUUAAAGUUUGACCAAAUUAUGAACGUAUAUGCUUAUAAGCACAAGCUAAAAUAGUUAAAUAUUAUCGUAAGAAAAAGUUUUACAUUUAGUAUAUUAUUUUUACUAAAUUUAAUAAAUAUUUAUAAAUAUAAUUUUUAAAAUAUAAUCUUAAUUACUAUAUGUUUAAAUAAAUAUUAAUAAAGAAAAGGAAAAAAAUAAAAGAAAUGAAGGGUUUUUAAAGUAAUGGAAAUUAAUGGUUUUUAAAGUAAAGAAAUAUAUAAUAAUUUAUGUCUUCGUAUCGUAUAAAAUGUUGAUAAUUUAUAUAUUAGUGUUAUCAUAACAAUUUUUUGUUCGGAGGACUCGAGCACUAGAUUUAAUGAAAAUUUUCAAAAUUAUCAUCAAUCUUUUUUGUAAGAGUGUUAUUGGUCUUCCAAAAGAUCAUUUUCGAAUAAAAAAAUCUCAAAAUUAACUGAGAGUUACUAAAAAAUGUUUUGGUCUACGAAAUCAAGAAUGGAUUUGGAGUAUGAUUAGAAGUAGAAAAAGUGUUAAUACCCCUUACAUCACUUUAUCAAAAAAUAAUUCCAAUUAAAUAUGUGUUUUUCAAUUACUUUAAUAAUAUGUUUUUUUUUUAAUAUUUAAAGUUGAUUCCUUUAAAAAUUUCUUUAAGAAAAACAUUUUUUUGUGAAAUUAUUAUUAUUAUUCUCAUUUCCUAUGAAUUCUUUAGCACUCUAGCAGAAUCUAUAGAACAGAUCUUUGUUCAAAAAAUUUUCAAGAAAAUUGAUAAUUCUCAAAAUUUUUAAAAUUUCAUCAUAAGAUAUUUUAUUUAUUUAUUAGAGUUGAUUUAGAAUUAGUUCAACUCUUUUGAUGAAAUCUAGAAAUCAUUUCUUAAACUAAUUUUAGGAUUAUCCCAAUUCUUUAAUAAAAUCUUUAAAAAAAAUUUAAACUAAUUUUGGAUCAUCCAACUUUUUAACGAAAUCUUAAAAAUUUUUAAAUUAAUUUCAAGAUUAUCCCAACUCUUUGAUGAAAUCCAAAAAUCAUUUCUCUUAUUGAUUUUAAGAUCAUCCCAACACUCUAGCAAAAUUCAAAAAAUCAUUUCUCAAAUUGAUUUUAGAAUUAUCCUAAAUUUAUGACAAAAUCUUAAAAAAAUCAUUUCUCUUGAUAAUAAUUAAGAAAAAUGAGACUCUUUCAAAAAAAAUUUUAAAUUACUACUAAAGAAUUUAAUUAAACAUUUUAAUUUUUUUGGUUAUUUUGUUAUUAUUUUUUAUUUAUUAUUUCAUUAUUAUUUUUUUUAUUUAAAAUAAAUCUUAUUUAGUAAAAAUAACUUUUUAGAUUAUCCAACUCUUUUGGUGAAAUCCAAAGUAUUUUUACUUGCAUUAAUUAAAGAAAAUUGAAUCCUUUCAAUUUUCUUUAAAAAUUACAUUUUAAAAGAGUUAUUCAAAUAAUCAAUUAUUUUUUCAUUUUUAUUUUUGUAGCAAAAAUAAUUUCUUAAAUCAUCCCAACACUUUAGCAAAAUUCAAAUAACAUUAUUGUUUAUAAAAUUAAGGCAAAAUAGAACUCUUUCCAUUUUCCUUAAUAACUAUUUUUUAUUUAAUAUUUUUUAUUUUAGAUUAAGAACAAUUAUUUAUUCUUGAUUUUGUAUUUUUUAUUAAAAUUAUUACUCAUUAUAAUUAUUUAUUAUUUUUUGUGUAAGUUAAAAAAAUACAUAUAUAUUUAUGAAAUAAAUUCUAACAAAAAAUAACAAAAUCAAAUCAAAAAUAAAAAUAAAAAUAGAAUGGAAAAAAAAAAGAGAAAAUAUUACCAAACGGAUCAGGUCAGACAUGCAAGUCAAUGCACAAGUUAAAACCAAGUCAGGUGUGAACUUUUUAAUUUCAAAAUGAUGUCGUUUUAGGUCUCUACAAAAGGCCCAUAGUUAGAGGAGUUUUUAAAGUAUCAUAACCUCUUGUUAGAUAAGUUUUUUUUAAUUUUGAGAGCCUCUGGAUAGAUGACUUUUUCAAAAUUAGGCAUGAUUUGUAAAAUCAAAAGAUAUAAUCUAUAAGACCUCUUAGAUUUUUAAUUUUAAGUAUCAUUAUCUCUGGUUAGUUGAGUUAUUUCAAGUUUUAUAGCCUCUGGUUAGAAAUUUUUUUUCAAAGUUUCAUAAUUUCUAGUUACAAGAGUUUUUCAAAGUUUCAUAUCCUCUGGUUAUAAGAGUUUUUAAAUUUUAAAAACCUUUGGAUAAAGAACUUUUUUGAAAUUAGACAUGAUUUGUACGACUAAUGGGCAUAAUCUAUAAAUCCUUUCAAAAUUUAUUUUUUCAAGUGCCAUGGCCUCUAAUUAAAAGAGCUAUUUAAAGUGUCAUAGCCUAUGGUUAGAGGAGGUUCUUAUAAUGCCAUAGUUAUUGGUUAGAGGAGUUUUUUUAAAAAGCGUUAAAGCCUCUGAUUAAAGGAUUUUUUUAAAAUCUAUUUGCCUCUAGUUAAAAAUGUUUUUCAAGAUCAGGUUGGAUUUAUAAAAUGUUUGGGAUAUAAUCUGUAGGACCUUUGAAAAUUUAAAUUUAAAGUGGUAAAAGCAUCUGGUUAGAGGAGCUUUUAAACAAAAAUCAAAUUAUUUUCAGUCGAUGGUAAAAAUAAAAAUAUGUGGUGUGCUUUUGUGUUUUCCUUAUUUCUUUCUUAAAAAAAAAAAAACAAAAAUACAAACAAAAAAAAGAAAAAGUAUUGGUUUUUGUAACAUCAUGUUCAUCUAGACAAAUUUGUUGUUUUUUAGUUUUUGCCCAAUUCCUAAUUGUCAGAAAUGUGGAAAGAAGGGCAACUAUAAAUACUUAAUUUUAUUUAGGUUUAUCAAAAUGGAUCCAAAUGGAAUUUAUAAGUUUUAUGUGUCUAAUUUAAACUUAUUCGAUUUAUUAGUGGAUACAGUUAUUCUUAUUAUUUUAUUAAAUAUUUUUAAAGUAAAAAAAAAAAGAGUUAUAAAUUUUUACAAGAGGUAAGAAACUAUGGGAGCAAAAGUUUAAGCUUUAUUCCAUUUUUCUUAGUCACCACCUAAUCAAUUGAAAAAAUGAAUUAUAAUCCCUAGAUUUAAAGGAUUUGAUUAGUGUUAGAGUUAACAAUUUGCUACAAAAGACCUAAAUUUCAAUCGAAACAGAAAAUCGAUUAAUGGUUUUAAAGAAAAACACCACUAACUUUAGAAAUUAAGGAUUUGAAUCCCUGAAGAUCUGGAUAAACUCGACAAAUCAAGGGCCAAUAGAGAGAGUUUUAAGGGGAAAAUUUCAUAAAAAAAAAAAAUUUGACAAGAAAUCUACUGCCAUUCUGCAAAAUCACACACCCACAAAGAAAUCAAAAUACCAACACCCAAAGUUAUCUUAUCCUUUUAUGAGGAAUGACAGUAAAAAAAUUAUUUCAAAGACAAAAGAAAAAACCAUUCUGUCUAGAUCAAUCCAACCCAAAAUCACACUAAAAAAAAAAAUCAUCAUCCACCUCCCUUAAAGGGAACCGGGAAAAAAAAUUAAAAAAAAAAAGAAUCGAAAGCAAAAUCUUUGAUUUAGGUUGUUUGAAUUUUUUUUUUUUUGAAAAAACUAGUUUUAAAAAAGUAUUUGGGAGACAAAAAAGAUCAAUUUGAGAUUUUUUUUAAAAAUUUUUGCUUUACCAAAAUUUUAAAAAAUACGAAUUUUUCGACAACCAUUUGAAUUUUUCGACCAAUGGAAAUUGAAAAACAUCCGACAACUAUAAAUUUCUUGAAUUUUUUAAAGUCGAUUAAAGUUUUCAAUGAUGGCAUGGAGGCUACCCUCCAAAAACUGGGAUUACAUGAUGGUCGGUGAACGAAAAAGAACUAAAGAAGGGUUUGAUGGAAGAGAGAAAGGGAUAAGAAAAAUAAUAAUAAAAAAAAAGAUUAGGCUUUGAUUUUCAAACCUUCUCUCUGUUUUUUUUUUCAUUUUANNNNNNNNNNNNNNNNNNNNNNNNNNNNNNNNNNNNNNNNNNNNNNNNNNNNNNNNNNNNNNNNNNNNNNNNNNNNNNNNNNNNNNNNNNNNNNNNNNNNNNNNNNNNNNNNNNNNNNNNNNNNNNNNNNNNNNNNNNNNNNNNNNNNNNNNNNNNNNNNNNNNNNNNNNNNNNNNNNNNNNNNNNNNNNNNNNNNNNNNNNNNNNNNNNNNNNNNNNNNNNNNNNNNNNNNNNNNNNNNNNNNNNNNNNNNNNNNNNNNNNNNNNNNNNNNNNNNNNNNNNNNNNNNNNNNNNNNNNNNNNNNNNNNNNNNNNNNNNNNNNNNNNNNNNNNNNNNNNNNNNNNNNNNNNNNNNNNNNNNNNNNNNNNNNNNNNNNNNNNNNNNNNNNNNNNNNNNNNNNNNNNNNNNNNNNNNNNNNNNNNNNNNNNNNNNNNNNNNNNNNNNNNNNNNNNNNNNNNNNNNNNNNNNNNNNNNNNNNNNNNNNNNNNNNNNNNNNNNNNNNNNNNNNNNNNNNNNNNNNNNNNNNNNNNNNNNNNNNNNNNNNNNNNNNNNNNNNNNNNNNNNNNNNNNNNNNNNNNNNNNNNNNNNNNNNNNNNNNNNNNNNNNNNNNNNNNNNNNNNNNNNNNNNNNNNNNNNNNNNNNNNNNNNNNNNNNNNNNNNNNNNNNNNNNNNNNNNNNNNNNNNNNNNNNNNNNNNNNNNNNNNNNNNNNNNNNNNNNNNNNNNNNNNNNNNNNNNNNNNNNNNNNNNNNNNNNNNNNNNNNNNNNNNNNNNNNNNNNNNNNNNNNNNNNNNNNNNNNNNNNNNNNNNNNNNNNNNNNNNNNNNNNNNNNNNNNNNNNNNNNNNNNNNNNNNNNNNNNNNNNNNNNNNNNNNNNNNNNNNNNNNNNNNNNNNNNNNNNNNNNNNNNNNNNNNNNNNNNNNNNNNNNNNNNNNNNNNNNNNNNNNNNNNNNNNNNNNNNNNNNNNNNNNNNNNNNNNNNNNNNNNNNNNNNNNNNNNNNNNAACUAUCACUAAAAUAGUCUUAUCACAUGUUGUGACUUAUCUGUAAUUUAAAUAACUUUAGAAAAAUUUAAAAGAAUAAAGUAUUCGUAACCAAAAUCAAAUAUCUACGUUUUGCCCUUACAUGAGAAUUUUUAAUAUAAGAAGCUCUCAUGCACUAGUUUAAUGAAAGAAUAAAAGUAAAAAUAUAUAUGAAAAUAAAAUAUAUUUGUUCUUGUAAUUUAAAGAUGUAUAAUAUAAGUUUCAUGAAAAGAAAAAAUUAUAUAUGAAUACAUAUUUAUUGUGACUGUAUAUGUGCGGAUUCAUUACUCUUUGUAUGAAAAUUAUUUGAUGUAAAUCAAAGAAUGUUCUAUGCAUAGAAUAAACAAAUUUUAAUAUUGUAAAUUAAAGAGUUACUGAUUAGACAAGUGAUGUAUGAAAGUGUAAGUCAUAACGUUAAUAUUUCUCUAAAAAGGGAACAAGUAAUGAAAGUGUUCUAAAGAAAAUAGGAGAACAAGUAGUGGUAAUGUUUCUUUAAAAAAAAAAGAGAGAAUAAGCAAUAAAAAUGUUUCUCUACAAAAUAGAAGAAUAAGUAAUGAGAGUGUUUCUUUAAAAAAAAAGAGAAAUUAAAAGAAAUAGGUAAUAUAAGUGUUUCCCUAAAAAUAUAGAAUAAGUAAUGUGAAUGUUUUCCUAAAAAAUAGAAAAUAAUGAAUGGAACAAUUAAAAAGAAUAUUUCUAAAAAAAUUCAAUGAAACAAUUAAUGGGAUUGUUUCCUUUAUAAAUAUGCAUGACUUCAAUAAUUAACAAUAAAAUUGUCUUUCUCGUAAGAAAAAAAAAAGUAAAAGGAGUAAUGUAUAUAAUUUUUGUAUUUCUAGAAAUGAGAAAAAAAAAAGUAAAGUAUAUAAUUUAAUUUUUUUUUUUUAGGAAUCACUUGUUUUUAUAUGGAAGUAAAGUUUGUAAGUUUAAAGUUCAUGCAACCUAUAAACAAAAUUUUUACCGAUGAUAUGAUGUUAAAAAUUUUGUAAAAUUAGUAGAUUAAAGUUUUUCAACUUGCGAUGUGUCUUUGUAGAACCUAUAAUCGAGCCAACAUUCUUUUAAAGAUUUAAUUGUGCCCUAUAAUAGUAUUCUAUGUUUAGCUAAAUGAAAAAAAUUAAUUGCAAUAUAGUAAAAUUUUGUAUAGAAUAUCUAGAGUAUUAAAAUCUUUUGAGAAUAAAAUUUAAUGAAAUUUUAAAAAUAAAAUUAAAGAUUUUGAAAUUUUAUUAAAGAAUUUUUUAAAUAAGAAAAAUAAAUAUUUGUUAUUAAAGAAAUUGAUUCUAUGGAUUCUAUAAAUAUAAGAAUUAUAUACAUGAUUAACACGAAUAUAUACAAGAAACUGACUAAAAUAAUAAAUAAUUAUAAACUAUUUAUCAUUUACAACUUAAUAAAUUUGACAUAUUAUAAUAUAAAAAAUAUUUAUUAAAAAAAUUUAUACUCAAUUAAUAUGUAUUUAAUAUAUAUAUUUUAAUUUAUAUUACAUAACUAUAUUAAUUUUUAGUAUCAAAUUCAAUAUUAUAAACUAUUAAAGAUUAAAGAAUAAAAUAAUAAUGUAUAGGAUUACUAUUAAUGUUAAUAUUGUAUUUAUAUUAUUAAUAUAAAAAUAAUUUUAUAACAAUUAUUAAAUGAGUAUCAUAAUUAAAUAUUUAAAAUAAUUUUUAUAUGAUAUUAAAUAGCUAAUUAAGUAUUAUAAUUAAAAGAUUAAAAUUAAAAUAAUUUUUAUAUGUUUAUAUUAAAUUAAAAUAAAAUUAAACGUGUAAACAUGUUAAACGUUUACUCGUAUGAUAAGAUUAAAUUAAACGUAUUAUUUAUGUUGUAUCACGUAUUUAAACGAGUUAAUACUUAUAUGACACAAAUUCUGUUGUGUCAAAAUUUAUGUCGACACAAAUAAAUAUGAAACAUGUUUUUUUAAAACACAUAUCCAAUUUUUUUCGUAUCAUUUUCGUGUCGUAUUAUCAUAUCGUAUCUGAAAUUAUUAAGUUUAAAUAUUUGUUUACUUCAUUUUUAUCUUUUUAAUUAAUUCUUAUUUAUUUUUAUACUUAAUUUAAAAUUAUUAAUUUCAUCUAUAAAUUUAAUUAAAAACUAUAUUUAUCACCCUUAAAUUAAGCAAUGAAAAUUUUCAACAAAUUUUAAAUAGCGAUGAGGAUUUUUUUCCCCAAUAUCAAUCUCACAGUCACUGUACCUGUCCAGAGAUUUAUUUUCGUCUAUAGGAAUUAAUUCAAAAUCAACCAAUAAGGAAUUGCUAAUUGCUUAGGUGUCGUUCGCUAACGUUUUCGUUUUCUAUUUUUUGUUUUCGGUUUCAUUUUUGUUUUAAAAUUGAAAACAAAAACAUAUUUGGAAGGUUUUUUUUAUUUUUUAUUUUUAAAAAUUGAAAAUAAAGUUUUAGAAAAUUUUAAAAUUUGCUGAUAACAGAAAAAUGGUGUUUUCAGUUUUUUGGAAAUAAUUUGGCAUUGUUACCAUAUGGGUGCUGUUCAUAGAAAUUACAAUUAAACCAUUACAGUAACGUUAUAAUUAUUAUAUUAAUAAAAUAAUAUUUUUAUUAUAUAAAUAUUAAAUUAAUAAAUAUUAUUAUAUUUAUUAUAUAAAUAAUUUAUAUUAAUAAAUAACAUUAUAAUAUAUUAAUAAAUAAUAUUAAUAAUAACUAUUAUUUUAUUUAUAUUAUUAAUAACAAACGGAGUCUAAAAAUUUUAAUCACUUUCUCUUAUUUUUUUGUUUUCACAUUUCUAAAACAAAAACAUUUUAUUCAAACAUAUUUUCAAAUUCAAUAAAUUAAAAAUAAAAUGAAAAUCAAACAAAACAAAAUUUUCAAAAACAUAAAAUAUUAUAAUAUAUAAUAAUACCAAACGACCCCUUAAUUAUCCCAAAUUAUUGUCGUUAGAAAGGAUAAAUGUUGAAAUUGCCUUUUUAUGUAAAGAGAAUUAAAGACUCCAAAUUAGGUUUUAUUUGUAUUUUAACUUGAAAAAUCAUGUCAUUUAACCACUUUUAUACGUAAAAAAAAAAAAAAACUCUUGAAAAAGUCAAGGUAUCAAAUGGGUAAUUUGUCCAUAACAACUACACUCAUAUAUAUAAACGAGUUUAAAAGGACAAGAAAAAUUAGAUAAAGACUGCAUUUUAAAUUAGAGAAAGACUGUGUGAAAGAGUUUAAAAGAAAAGAUAAAAAAUUAAAAAAAAAAUUACCUAACUCUUGCCUUUUUAUGCUGUUUAUAUUAGGCAAUAGAAACCAUUUCCAUGUUAACAUAAAAUAAAAGUUUUAAACAUUUUUUUCUUCUAAAAAAGGUCUAAAUUAAAUUAACAAUUCUUUAAAUAGUAAUAUAUAUGGUCUGAUAUCUUUCCAUAUUCUGAAAAUUUUGGUCAAUAUCAGCCCCAUAAUCACUGUAUCAGUCCCUUGAUUUUAGCAGGGAAAAUGCUAAUAAUUAAUAUCUUUCUAAUUUCAAUUACUACAUGCAAAAAUAUUUAUACACCUCCAAAACCUCCAAGGCUAACUCAUACACUCAAGCAUUUCCUAGCCAUUGCAUAAGAUUUUUGUUACUAAACCCUAGUAAAAAUGGCCAAAUUUUCUCUCACCCAUUUUGUCAUACUUGCCCUCCUUUUCACUGGUUUGUUUUCUUUAACCCUUUAACUCAUAUUUGAUAGCUUUUCAAAAACAUUUGUCAAUGUUGUUUUGUUUACCAUGAAAAACAAAUUACACUAACAUUUAAGUAAUUAAAUCAACAAUGGAUGCAUAUAUGGGCCGUAUUUAAAGAUUUGAGUUCAAAUCCUGAUGGGUUUUUUUUUUUUCUCUUACAUUGAAGGGUUUGAAAGUUAAUUUGUUUGUUUGAUUUUUAUUUUUGCAGUUGUUUCAGUGGUUGAUGCACAACAAAGAUGCCAAGAGGUGUUGGAUCCAAACAAUUGUGAACUUUCGAAUUGUAGACAGAAGUGUCUCGAAAAGCAUAAUUCAAAUUCAGGGCAAUGUCUCAUAAGUGGAGGCACUCCUCUUGAUCCAACUUUCAAGUGUGUGUGCAUUUAUGACUGUGGUUUUUAAUAUUAUUUCUCCUUUUAGUAUGAUGUAUUUCUAUGCAAGGAGACAAUUCAAUAAAAGUUGAUAAAGGUGAAUCAUUUUCAUUUUUAUGUUAUUUAUGACAGCUUAGAUAUAAAAAUCAAUCCAAAAACAUUUUUAAAAAAAGAGAUCAUUCAAAAAAAAUAUUUAGGUUUAAGUAAUUUUUUUAUAUAAAAUAAUUACAACCUAAAGAUAGAUAUUAGAAUUUUUUACUCAAAGUUAUCAGAAUUUGAAUAUCUAAACACUUUAUAAGUGAAAUGAAUGUUGGCCCUGUGUUGACCAACUUGAAUCUAUAGAUUAUGGAACAUGUUCAUCUCGAACGAACUCAAUCACCUACAUAUAUAUUUGGGUUCGUUAGUUCAAUCUAAAUACUAAUGAAAAGUAUAAUUCAUAAUAAUAUUCGAACUCGUCCGAUUUUGACUUGACCCAAUCUUAUAAGGUGCCUUUUUUUCUCCACUCAAAGCAGCUUGUAAGUAGGAUUUUUGUCCUCCUACCACCCCCUAUCCCCCGUUAAACCUCUCCCCAACUCCUUUUGCAACCGACCAUGAAGGUUUCUCUCCCGCCCUUGUCUGCUGUCCCACACUCUACUCUUCUCACGUUCCUCAUUCGUCAUAACUCUGUUCGAAAAUGUCGAUCUUGCAUUGAAUCUGGCCAUUUAACCCCAAUCUUGUAAUCCUUAAUCCACGAUCCAUUCAAAUUGUACAACUCCUUCUUUGCGUUUACAAGUUUCUCAAAACGUACAAACCCGUAUUUCCUGCCUCUUGCACUCAUUUUUGUGCAAUGAAGACAUCCAUUACCUUUCCAUACUCCCGAAACCUUUGUGACAGCCAUCUCCAAUGAGUUUAUGGAGGAAUAUUAUUUACAAAUAUUGCGAAAAUUGUUAUUUUUAAGAGCAAAACUAUUUCCUGUGGUUGCUGAGGUUGAAAGUGAUUUUAUCAAUUUUUGAUAAGAGAGUUUUGUUCUCUUAGUGAAGCAACUUUUGAUACAAGAAUUUUUGGUAAAAGGUGUUGGUCUUGUUCCUUGAGGAAGUUGUUUCGAGAAUAAUUAUUUCGUGAAAGUAUUAUUCCGUGAAAGAAUUGGUUCUUAAAUAAUUAUUCCUUUAAAUAGUUAUUUUUGUAAAAAAGUUGUUUCAUGAACAAUUAUUCCAUAAAAAUAACUUUCACUAAAAUAAUCUUAUCAACUGUUCUGACUUAUCCUCAAUUUUAAUAACUUUAAAGAAAUUUAAAAGAAAAAAGCAUUAAUAACCAAAUCAAGUAUCUAUAUUUUGCCACCUAUACGAGAUUCUUAGUAUAAGAAGUUCUCAUACUCUAGCAUAAUGAAAGAAUAAAAGUAAAAGGUAAAUGAAAAUAAAAUAUAUUUGUUCUUAUAAUUUAAGAUGUAUGAUCCAAAUUUCAUGAAAAGAAAAAAAAUUAUAUAUAUAUAUAUUGUGACUGUAAAUGUGAGGAUUCAUUACCCUUUUAUAUGAAAUUUGUUUGAUGUAAAUCAAAUAACGUUCCAUACAUAAAAUAAGUAAAUUUUAAUGUUGUAAAUCAAAGAGUUACUUGUUAGAUAGGUGAUUUAUGAAAGUGUAAGCUAUAACAUUAGUGUUUCUCUAAAAAAAAAAAUGAAAGUGUUUUCUAGAGAAAAUAAGAGAAUAAGUAGCUGGAGUGUUUCUCUUUAAAAAAAAAUAGAAGAAUAAGUAGUAAAAGUGUUUACCUAAAAAAAUAGGAGAACAAGUAAUGAGAGUAGUUCUCUAAAAAAUAUGAGGAAUUAAAAGAAAUAGAUGAUGGGAGUGUAAGAGAAUAAGUAAUGAGAAUGCUUCCCAAAAAACAUAAAAGAAUAAUUAAAUGAAACAAUUAAAGAGAAUAUUUCUAAAAAAAAAAAAAUCAAUGAAACAAUUAAUGAGACUAUUUCCUUUAAAAAAUAUGCAUGAGUUCAAUAAUUAACAAUAAAAUUGUCUUUCUCGUAAAAAAAAUAAAUAAAAGGAGUAAUGUAUAUAAUUUUUUUAAUUUCUAGAAACAAGAAAAAAAAAGUAAAUUAUGUAAUUUAAAUUUUUUAUUAGGAAUCACUUCUUUUUAUAUGAAAGUAGAGUUUGAAAGUUUGUAGUUCAUGCCACCUACAAAAUAAAAAGUUUUUACCAAUGAUGUAAUGUUCUUAAAAUAAUUGUUAAAAUUAGUAGAUUGAGGUUUUUCAACCCGUGAUGUGUCUUUGUAAAACCUAUAAUCGGGCCAAUUUUCUUUCAAAGAUUUAAUUGUGCCCUUCAAUAGUGUUUUGUGUUUACCUAAAUGAAGAACAUUAAUUGCAAUAGAGUAAAAUUUUGUAUAGGAUAUCAAGAAUAUUAAAAUCUUUUAAAAAUAAAAUUAAAAAUUUUGAGAUUUUAUUAGAGAUAUUUUAAAAAAUAAAUAAAUAUUCAUUAUUAAAGAAAUUGAUUCUCUUGACCCUAUAAAUAUAAGAAUUAUAUUAUGAGGAUUUUCAAGUCAAAGUUAAGUGAAAGUCCAAUUUUUUUUUCUUUUGUAUUUGAAAUGUUAGGAUAUUGAUCUUAAUUAUUGAAUUUAAGAAUUUAAUAUUACUAAUAGACAAAUAGAGAAGCUAGAAAAUCUUGCUUUGGAAAAUGAUAAACUUAGACAUGAUUAUUGUAAAAGUAAAAAUAGCAUAUGAAAUAUAACUUCUACUAAUGAAUAUAAGUUUCACAAAAGAAAUUUAUAAAUCUCCUUUGUUGUCCUAUUUAUCCUCUUGCCAUUGUUCAUGACAAAUUAGACAAUCUUGGGGGAGGAGUAGAUUUUUAUUUUUUUUAGAGAUGAAACAGGCUGGUUUUUUCUUUUUAAUUUUUUUUUAUAUAAAGGUUCACCAAAGGCAUUCUCUCUUUACUCUAUUCAUUUAUUCAUUUACUUUGUUUUUUCAUGUAGUAAAAAAAUUAACGUAAGCGUCAAAGCAUGCGUUAAAACAUCAAUGUUGAUUUAGUGCCCAUUUGGAUUCAACCGUAUUUUUAAUGCGGUAUGAUUGAAUUCAUCACAUUACCGGUUGAAUUUAAAUGUUAACUCUAAUAAGAUUCAUUUAGCAUAAAUUUUUCAUUGAAAUUAUUUUUAAUCACAGUUACAUUAAUUUUUUUAACGAACAAUAUGAGACAACGAAAUGGGUAAUUUAUCCAUAACAACUAAAUAUUUAAAAGGGGUAAAUCUUGGUUUUUCUCAUCGCAAUGAAACUAAAAAGUCAGAAAAAAACUAUGCCCUGGUUUUCUUUAUAAAUUUUUUUUUUCUUUUGUUAUACGGAGAAGACUACACAUGUAGUAUUUAAGUUUAGAUUUAUAAAUAAAAUUGCAUACUCAAAUCUGUUCAAUUUAUAUAUAUAUAUAUAUAUAUAUCUUAUAAAUUAAUUUAUUUCAAGUGUACUCUUUUAGCAUGUGUAUAUCAAAUUAAAUUUUGUAAACAUAUCCCAAUGAAAUCCAUCUUUCUUUGAGGUAGUGAUAAAGUUGGAAAUUAACUUGCAUCAUAAAACUAAUGAUGGUUUAAUUUAUGAAAAGCCAAAAAAAAAAAAAACCCUAAUAAAUAGUAAUCGAUGAAAGAGUAAAAGUUAAAGGAUGUUAUGACUUAUAAACUCAUAACUCACAGUGCACUUAUUGGCAGGCAAUUAAGUAUUGACAUAAUAUCAUGUUUUAUUUGGAGAGAUGAAAUGAAAGAGAGUGAGUGAGAAUAGAGGCCAAAGUAUUGACGUAAUAAUAUUAUAUAAAAUAUUCCAUGACAGCAGAUAUAUUAUAUAUAUAUGGGGCUAAAAAUUUAAGGAGAAUUAUUUAUGUUGCAUAAAUGCCCAAGAUUAAUAUAAGUUGUUAUUUAUUACUUUUGUUUAAAUUAUAUAAAUAAAAAUAUUACCAAAAAAUAUAUAUUUUAAAAAAUCUUUAGGGAUCUUUGGUUGAUACUCAAAGUUAAAAAAAAAAAUAUCAUGCCAUAUAUCACGAAAGAUGACUUCAUUUAACAACGAUUGUUAGAAAUUAACAAUAUCAUGACUUGGGAUACAUAUCAUGUAUAAAUUUUUUUAAUUUUUAUAUAUAUGUAAAUUAAGUAUAAUCUCAUUAAACUUAAUCUAAUUGCUUUUUUUAUUUUUUAUUAUAUAAAUUAAAUUUAAUAUGUGAAUUUGUGAUUUAUUUUUUUAAUUUGGGUUAUAUUUAAAAAAAAUUUGAGAUUUAAAAUUUCAGAUCGAAUCGAACCUAAACAAACAUAUAAACUAUUAAUAUUAACUAUGAGUUUAACCCAAAAUUUGUCUAAUUCAACUCAUGAACACCUCUAUCUUCGAGUACUAUUGAAAGUUUUAACUAAAGCAAACCAACUGUCAGCCUUAAUCCUCUUCUUAGAUCAUCUAAACAAGCCAUCCAAUUUUUCAAACAUUUUUGCAGCUUAUCAACUCAAGUUGAUUAAGCAAUAAAGCAUGAUAUAGCACAAACUCGUACGUCUUAAACUCAAUUCCUUAUCUCAAAUGCCUACAUUCAAAUGGUAUGUACGAUGCAUGAAUCUAGUAUAAUGAAUUUUAUUUUAUUUAAAAAUUUCUUGUAAUUCAAAAAAAAAAUGGAGUAACCAAUGAAGUAAUUACUAAUAAUAUAAAUUUUGCCCAUUAUAUUAUUUGUCUCGAUCCCAAAUUUUUGUGACGCGAAUUAAAUUUAUCUCCAUCGAUGUAAAUUAAGCACAAUAUGAAUUAUCUUGUGAAAUUAACAUGAGGUUUUAGUACAAAAGGUUGUGUUAUAUGACAAUUUUUUUUCAAUUUUCCAUAUUCUUGGAUGUAGUUAUCAUGCCUUACUUUUCAUGAUAGUUUCCUUUGUUUUAGAACCAAAUGAUACCUUUGACAAAUUAAAAUCCUCCCUUGUUAGGAAUUUUAAUACAGUAUCUUUCUCAAUUUGGAUAAAAAUUUUUGUUCAAUGUUUUUGGCAUAGCCUUUUCUAAGUUUCCCUUCUAUCGUCCUCUUCUAUGGAGAAAUUUGGUGCCAAACAAGUUCAUAUCGACACCAUCACCCACCUUUACGCCUCAAGCAAGGUGGAAUUGAUAUUAAUAUAAUAUUUAAGAGACCAAAUGGGUAAUUUAUCCAUAACAACUAAACUCGUAUAAUUGAGUUUAAAAGGAAAAGAAAAAGUUUUUGUAAUAGAAACAAUAAAUAUCAAUCUAAUAAGUUUCCAUCUUAACAUAAAAGUAAAAGAAGCUUGUCCCGGAUUAGUUAAGAAUGAUAACGAAAUGGAUAUUCAUUAUUUUUAAAAUAUUCGUAUCCGAAUUCGUUUAAUAUUUAUAAUAUUUAAAUUUGUUUAAAUAUUUGUUUAAUUUAAUAUUAUUAUUUAAAUUCGAAUCUAUUUAAAUAAAUACUAUUUGUUUAAAUAUUUGAAAUUUUAAAAUAUUUAUUUAUUUAAAAUUUUUAUCAAAAUAUAAAAUAAACAAAAAUAUAACUUAAAAUUCAAGUUCAGUCUUAAUUAAUAAUAAAUAAAAAUUAUUUUUUAAAGUAUAAAACUUUAUACAAAUAUAUAAUUUUAGAUAUUUUAGAUAUGUAAAUAAGUAAUGAAUUCAUAUCCGAAUUCGAAUAUUCAUUAUUAUUCAUUGAAACUUAAAUGGAUUCGAGUAUUGAAUAUCAAAAGAAUACUAUUUAUAUUCACUCUGAAUCUAUCACGAAUAAUAAAUAUCUUAUUCAAAUCUAUUAAUUAUCUAUUUAUAACUAUUCGAAUCCACUGUAAAUGGAUUGAAUAAUAAUUGAUAUUUAUUUAUUUACGAUUUAUUACCAUCCUUAGUAUUAACAUUUUUUUAUUUCAAAAAAAGACUCAAAUUAUCUUCAAAAACAUGUUCAAAUUAAAUUAACUAAAAUAUGUAAAUAAUAAUAUCUAUAGUCUGAUAUCUUUCCAUAUAUUGAAAACUUCGGUUAAUUCAGUUCUAACAACAUUUGUCGAUGUUGUUUUGUUUACUAUAAAAAACAAAUCACACUAACGUUUAAGUAAUUAACUCAACAAUGCUUAUAUGGACCGUAUUUACAGAUCCCGGUUCAAAUUCUGACAGUUUUUUUUUUUUUAACAUUGGGAGUUUGAAAGUUAAUUUGUUUGUUUGAUUUUUUUAUUCUUGCAGUUGUUUCAAUGGUUGAUGCACACAAAGAUGUCAACAGAUGUUGGAUCCAAACAAUUGUGAACUUUCGGAUUGUAGACAGAAGUGUUUCCACUAGCCUUAAUUUAUAUAAUAAAUUUUUUUUUUAAAUCCAACUCAAAUUAAAAAUAUAUAUCCUUAACCCACCCACUUACCUUAAUUUAUAUAAUAAAAAUUUUAAAAAAUAUGAUUAAAUUAAGUAUAAAUUAAAUUAAGUUGAAUUAUAUUUAAUUCACAUAUACAUAAAAAUUAAAAAUAAAUAUUAUAUAUGUAAAAAUUAAAAAUAAAAUUUUAAUUUAAUAAAAAAUAUAUAAUUUUUAAUUUUAAUUUUUUUAUAUAUACGAAUUAAUUUAUAUAUAAUUUACAUAUAUAUAAAUAAAAAUUUUAUAUAUACGUAAAUUCGAAUCUAAACAAAUCAAACUUAAAUUUUAAAUUUUUUGUUUAAGACCUAACUUGAAAUUUAAAUGAGUUUAAAAAUUAUGUCCAAAUCUAUUUAAUGAGCUUCAAUUUUUUAUCUCUCAAAACUUGAAUGGAUAUUUAGACUUAAAUAAAUAACUUAAUCCUUAAUUAAAUCUAUUAUAAAUAAAUGUUGGGAUUUUUUACUCGAGAUUAUCAAAAUUUAAAAUUUUAAACACACUAGGUCAAGCGAUUGUAGGCCCUAAUAUUGUUAGUCAAUUUAUUUACAUAAUAUGAAAGUCAAUAAGAUGUCGUAAAAAAGUCUAAUCAAUGUUACAUUAUUAAUUAUCAGUCAAUAUUAAAAGAAAUUUUAUAAAAAAAAAUCUAAAAAAUUUUCAAAAUUGUUUAAAAAAUCUGAAAUAUUAAAAAAAUUAAAAAAUAUAUAUAAUAUUUUUAAAAAUUAUAAAAAUAUCAAAACUUAAAAAAUUCAAAAAAAUCUCAAAUUUAAAAAAAAAAUUCAAAAAAAUUUAUGACAAAUUAAAAAAACUGAAAAUUUUAAUAAAAAUAAAAACACAAGACAAUGUUUCAAGAUACAAACAAAUCCCAACCCUAAACCAGAACAAGAAUUGCAAAGACAAUGGGAAUUUUAGCAAGAAAAAAAAAAUGCUGUAUAUAUGCUUAUAACUAGACUCGUAUAAUGAUAUAUUAAAAUGCGUUAAAAAAUGAUUUUGUUUAUGAUUGUUGAUCUAUGAUUCUGGCCUCAAGCAUGAGCUAUAAAAUAGUCAAGCAUGAACCAGAACAAGCAAUCCUUUUGGGCUAAAGACAAGAAAGAAAAGAUGCCAUGCACGAACCUUAAGCUUGCUAGAUGGGAUCACCAAAACAUCUUAGUCCAAGAACCUAAAAAUGGGAAAACAGCAAUCAACAAUCUCAACAGCAAAGGUGCAUCAUUGUUACUUUCUUUCAUACUCAACUUGCCCUCCUCCUUUGAUGUCCUUUUUGAGCCAUUUUCCAUUGUUGGCAUUUUCAUUGAUCCCUUUCCAUCUAGCUCAUCCCAUCCACCAAAGUUGGUUGCAGCAUUGCCACCCUCAUUGGGAGAACCAUCAUCACUAACUAUCCAUGAUUGAUAAUCCCUUCUUCCCUUUCUGCUUUUUUGGCCUUCUUGUACCUCUUCCUCCAUUUUAACAUUUUUUACAGUGCGCCGAGAUGUAUUUUUUGGUUUUUUUCUUACCCUGACCUUACGCUUCUGCUUGUUUUGUGACCUUCCCAAAAACCUUUCAAGUGCCAAAGUUAUUGCUGACUGCCCAAGUGGAAGUGCUAAUGCCAUGAGGAAAGCUUUUGGGCCAGUGGCAAACAAGAAGGAAAGUAAAAUGACUGGUAGCGUCCAACCAAAGGAUUUGAAAACCUGCAUUGACCAAUUGCAAAAGUAUUGGGAUCAACAGAAUGCAUUUUUUAUGGGAAAAAAAAAGAAAUUAACAUUUGAUAAAAUAACAUUGAGGGGAACAAACUGUAGGACAUGAUCCAAUCGAGAAAAUUCAAUUAUUUAGCAACAGUUCAUUUAAAACAACAUUCCUAUAUAGAGCAAAAUUCAGUACUAAGGCAUAAGGAGAUGCCUAUGGUUUGAAUGAUGGUUAUGAAAGAGGCAAAUGCCGAAUGGUACGUCCAAAGUGAAAAAUCCUGUGUUGUGGUCUGUGGAAGCUAACGCUAUUUCUCACCAUAAUCAGCAAAUAUGUGAUCUGCAAAGAGUUCAAACAGUUUGUUGAUGCCCAUGUAAACUCAACUAAAGCUGUCAUGCAGUUUUUCUGGUACUAAAACUAGUUAACUUGCAUGAGCUGCCAAUCAAACCCCUCAUUGCGAAGGACAAUAUAAAAGAUUUCCCAACAUUGUCAGCGGAAUAAUUGCCGGAUAUUAGGAGUCUUGAGAUGGGAUUCCUAUAUUCCUAUGGAGUGUCAGUCCCAUGCAAAAGAUUCUUAGUAUCACAUAAUUUACAGCUGCAUAUGUGAGCCUGCAACUAAGAUUUGAAGCAAGAGGCAAGUCCCUUAAAUUUUAAAAUUUGCAACAGAAGCAAAUCCUAUUAAACUACCCAAUAGAUCCAAGAAUAAAGUUGAUUUCAAAUCAAAGUUCUUCAUUUUACUACUUGUUCAAGAGGAAGCAAAUCCUAUUAAACUAACCGAAUAAAUCCAAGAAUUAAGUUGUUCAAAAGGACCCAUAGUUUUUGCAAAAUUAUUGAUGUAUGAAGCUAAUUCAUUUAUAAAAAGAAAUGCAUCAAAUUUAAUCCAUUUUAAUGCAUGAAAUUCAUUUACAUCAAUCCCAUUUGGUAUUCAAAAUUCUACCUUUAAGAAUGUAUCCAAAUUUUAAAAAAAAAAAAAAAGGGAAAGGAAAGAAAAGAUUGUACCUUCAAAAUCCAAAUGCUAUCAAUUGCUUCGUCCAAAAUCCCGGAAUUUGCCAUUUCUUCAUAAUAAUCAUCUCUUUCUUCGUCGUCGCCAUCGUUUUGGGUGUUGAAGCUGAAGCCUUUGGCACGAAUAUUCUCAGCAUUAGGGUCCCACUUGCUUCUUCUCCUUCUACUGCUGCUGCUGCUAUCUCUGGCUGCACAUGAGCUGAAACGACGGCGUAAAUGAGAGUAAGAGAGAGGGCAAAGUGGCAAAUGAAUGAAAUUAUGGAGGUGGGAUUUAUGGGUGAAGAAGAUGAAGGAAGAACAAGGGCAUGGUUGAGCUGCUGCCAUUUCCAUUUCCGCUUCUCUGCUCCCCAUAUUUCUCGAUCUCUACCACUUUGCCACGUUCUUAUUUUCUUGUCCAUUGAAAAACCGUUGAUGAUAAAAUAACCAAGAAUCUCACGACGUCGUUGCAGGAAUAGAAAGUUUUCCCGAUUAAAUUGGAAAACGCUGCGUUCCGUGAAAGGAUUUUGGUUUAAAAUUUUAAGCAUCUGAAGCGACACCGUUCAUAGAAAACAUUUCUCUAUAUAAGCUCAGCGUUAAAUUCACGCAAACUUAAAAAGAAAUCCCUAGAAGCUGAAGAGGAAGAUGAGGCCAACGCCGAUGGAAUUCAUGGUGGACCCAGAUGAUCAAGGCUCAGCCAUGGAAGUCGACGACGUUGACCCACUCGAGAUGUUCGGCGAAGGCGGCAUCUCCAUCGACAACAAGCUCGCCGACGCCGAUUUCUUCAACAACUUCGAAGACGAUUUCGAUGACUCCGACAUCAACUAAACGCCUCAACCCAAAGUUCUCAUCUUUUUCUCUCUUACCUUUCUAGGGUUUCAUCUUUUUUCUUAAGAAAAAUCCUAAUGCUUGUCCGAUUCAGUCGAAUUUGAACUGCUUUAUGGCUUAUCUCAUCUGCAAAUUAUAUUAUUGAAGUUUUUGAACGUUUAGC
rnacentral:lncRNA from 1 species